rnacentral:lncRNA from 1 species
UUUUUUUUUUUUUUUUUGGGUCAAUCUGUAAGUUCAUUCAUUUUGAUUUUUUUCCAUGUACUGACCGUAAACUUUGUUCACGUGUGGGAAUAUGCUUUGGUAAGGAUAAAACCAUAAAAAGUAUUGACAGCCAAUGGGAAAAGAAUUCUUCCAUUGUUUUUCUGGUUCAAGAACUUGGCAUGGUACCCUGAAUGAGAUACAUCAAGUCCAAACCCACGAAAUUCGAGAAUCAGAGCCCGGAUAAAGAUGGUAUUAGGAUCCUUCGUAUAUAGCACAUGAGGAGAACUCUAUUCACUUGGCAAUUUGCAAAAACGAUUUAUAUGUGGGGAUAAAUUGUUAUUUAAAAGGGAAGUAUUAUUUGCACUCCUAUUUUUAUUAAUCACAUUCCUAUUAUCAUUUUAAUUAUAUAAUUUUAAUUUAUUAUACUAUAUGAUAAAACAAAUGAUGUAAGUGCAAAUAACAAAAAAUGGAGUGCAAAUAACUUUUGUCUUUUACAAAUUACCUUUUCUUUUUUGGGCAAUUUUGGCAAAAGUCAUACCUCUAGAAACUUUUCAUGUCAAAGGGCCGAUAGGAAUUUUCUUCGUUAAAUAUACAUAAAGAAUGAUACUUAAAGAAGAAAAGAGAAACCGAAAUGUGCAGAAUGAUACUCAGAGAAGAAAAGAGAAAGAUGCAGUUAAUAUAAAUCCUAAGCUACAUUGGAAUCCAAUAUGAGAAUUUAUUCUUUUACUUUAGUUAUCUACUUAUCUUGACUUAAUAGCCUCCCAAUACUUUUGCACGUGGGUUUGGAAAUUUAUAGUAAUUAUUUUCCUCCUUUUUCAUUAAUAUCCUUGUUUCAAAUGGGAGGUAGGGUAGGAUUGAGAAGGAAAAUUCGCAAAGUGAAAAUCCUUCUAAUUAAAAGUUGAUCAAUGAAAAUUCUUCUGAUUAUCCUUUUCUACACUGUCGAUUAAAAUCCCUUUUACAUGAGCAUGCAUGAAUGAAUACCCCAUGUGAAAAAAGAGAAAUUCAAAUUUCAAUGGAAGUUAUGUGUCAUAUGGACCUAUUCUCAACUGAUUUUGAUUUUAAAAAAAUGGCCCAAAAUUAGAAUUGAAAAAGCAGGAAUAUUGUAACUUUUAAUUUAGAAAUUUUUGUAGAGUUAAAAAAUAAAGAUGGAAAAAGAAAUAGUUGAAAACAUCAUAUAACUAAAUUUCUACAAUUAGAAGUUAAAAAAUCAAUUGACAAUAUACUAGAUCCGAUAAUGAAAAAAAUUAUUCCAAAACCUUACGCAUAACACUAUGUUCAUUCUUCAAAAAAUAGAUGCCGAUGAUAAAGCAUAAGUCAUGCUAACAUUGGGCUGUGGAUGAGUAAUCAAAACUACGUACAAAUGGCAUAAAUUUCAAAAUAUUGGAAAAAAGAUGUUUUCAACAAAGAUCAACUUAACUAUUUAACUAUCUUGACUUCCACAUCCAUUAGUCAAGGCCAACUAAAUCCUCAAUUGAUUUUGAGAUGAAGGACUAGAUUCUUCAACAUGGCAUCAAAGCUAACUUUGGACUCUUCUGUGCAUUGAACUUGGUUUCAUGGAUCUCUUUCAUGAUAAUGCUCAUUCUUGUUUGUUCAGACCGAGGCACGUGUAAAAUAGGUGUUAAACAGAGAUCAGCUAAACUAAUUAAUAAGAUCCUAGGCUACUUUUAUUUAUAGUGGUUAGCCAGAACCAAUUAAAGUGCUAAUUUCUUUAAACUGCUAAUUUCGACUAGGAUCUUAUUAAUUACAGUGAAAAAAAUUCAACAGAGAUAUUAGAGAACCUCUUUGAUUUAAUCGAAUCUAUAUAUCUGCUAAUUUCUUAUAUAGCUUAUUUAAACUUUCAGUCUCUGUAAAAUAAAUUAGAUUAGAUUAUAAGAAUAUUAUGGUAAUUAGAAAAAAAAAAAAGACAAGGUUUGGUUCAUCUUGGAACAUAAAUGCCAAAGGACUGGCAGAAGUACAUGCAAACUCGAAUCCUUUGUCCAUUAGAGAAAGGGAGAAAAAAUACAUAGAAAUAUGUCAUACGAUGUGACUUUAAAGCUUUGCAAAUAAAAUUGAUGGGACUCAUGGGAGUCGAAUCCUAACAAAAAUUUUUUUUUUUUUAAAAAAAGCAGGUGACUUUACCACUCCAACAAACACAUGGCCCCUUCCGAGAAAAAAUAAAUAAAGCUCUGGUUAUUACUUUUUCUUUACUUCACCUGUUAGGUGGAUAGCAAAACCUUAUGAAUAACUAUUAAAUAUCAAAUAGCAAAAUAGUACCUCUUGUAACUAACAUAAUUGCCAUAUGUACAUAAAAAAGUAUAUUUGCAACCUCAACGAUAACUUCCUUUUUCCCCCCCAAUUUAUCAAAGGUUUAAUUUUUGAUUAACUAAAGUGGCAGCUAAAUGGACAAUUAAAAAAAAUAAAAGUUGAAUGGGCCAAGAUUUUUAGGUGGAAACGUAAAUGGCCAAGUUAAAAUGUAUACAUAAAAAAUCAAUGUAUUAACUGAAAUGCUGCCGCGCGGCGCGCAGGCCUCAUGUGCACCAAUGCCAGAUAGCCAACACUUGAAUGCAGAAUAAAACUUCCUCUACAUUGAUACAAAGUAUGCAUGCCUUCUUAGUGCUCAUUAAUAAAACAUAUAUUUAUAAGGAUGGCAAUUGGAGUUUGAUUGGUGGGUUCUUCCUUUAAUCAUUUCUCUCUUUAUAAGAAGACCAAAAUGUACAUAAAAUAAAUUAAAAAAAUUAACAAGAAGGAUGUGGAGGGGAAAUGGAUCAUAGAACAUUGAGAGGUGAGACUUUGGCUAGCAUCUAACUUCAUAUCCCCACCUUUUCGAUGAAUAUUAUUAGUGAAAUCAUUGAUGAAGCAUGCAAUGAUAAAAUUAUUGGUCAUAUCGGAUUUCGGCGAUACGAAUGUUGAAAACUACAGUAUUUUUAAAGAUCAAAUGAACAUGGAAUAUAGGAAUCAGAUAGCUUUACUAGGAAAGGAACCAUUGCAGCUUUCACUUUUCGUUGCUGAAACUUUUUUAAACUAUUGAUUUCAUUUCAUCUCUUUGAACCCUUUUUCUUUCUUUUUCUGUGAUCAGAAAUGUGUGGUCCAGAAUUAAAUAUGGCCAUCUAAUUUUUCUUUCUUCAAACCUUUUUCUUCCACAUUAUUGGUCUCUCGUUUUUUCAAAGAAAGAUUUAAAGAAUAAAUUGUUCUAUAGAGAUAGUUAGUGAAUGUGGGGAAACUGCAGAGCGGCAUCAAUGAUUUGGGAAUCGGGUGGCGAUAGUUCAGUUUAAUUUGGAUCGUUCAUUUUAAAAUUUUUAUUUAAAAAUAAACGACACAAAUCAGACCUGACUGAUAUGAUUCAAUUUAUUCUGAUAAUUGCAUUGUACAAUUCUAAUUGCAACCAUGCAAUCGCACAUGCCCCUCACCCCGUAGCUAGCAGAAAGAACCAAUACUCCUAUAGGAGGCACGAAUAUUCUCUGCUCUUUACUUUGGAAAGUGACAAGCAGACCAAGAAGUUUGGAUGGAAUUUAUUUUGAGUCAAAUGUCACUUUGAUAAUCUCUAAUUAGAUGCUAUAAGUUGCAUCAAUGAAUCCCCGUCCAAUAAUUUCCCCUGCACAUUUUGACAUAAACUAUCGAGAUAAUGUUUUACACCACCGAUUUUUAUCGAGAAUAAAGUUAUUUAUGCCUCAUCACAUCUGAUCUCAUUACGAAAUAUUCAAUCUAUCAAGCUUUAUGCAUCCAAAAUUGUAAUUAGAGUAAUGAAUCUUGGCCGACUGCGAUUUAAGAGUCACAGAGACACGUAGAUUAAUCUAAGUUGAGUAUUAUAGGCACGCACGUACAACUAUAUGAAUUAGUACUCUUUAUCGUUUUGAGACUUUAGAAAAUUGCACGAGUGUCUAAAGAUUAAGAUGUGGAUAUAACUAAGUUAGGUAUAAAGGAAAUAGAAUAAGAUUAGAUUUCAGAAAAUUGAUGGUUGAUGAUUUUCUAUAAUUUUCAAAAUCACAGCGAGUAAUCUGUAUAAUUAGAGUGCAUGUAUGAUCGGAAAAUUUGUUAAUAGUUGUGCUCUAAUAUUCUUAUUGACCUUGCAAUUUACCAAUGCAAUGGAGGCAUGUGAGGUCUUAGUUUCUGCAAAUUGAAAGAUGAUUGACAACAAGAAAGAAAUGGACAACAGCAUUUGAGAGAAAUGGACAACAGCAUUUGAGAGGCCCCAAUACAGCUAAUGUCUUAAUUGUGUGGUUAAAAAGAUGACCAAGAAUAUGUUGAACAAAGUUCAUAUAAAAUAAAAGACUAAAAGAAACAGCAAAACUUAAUCCAUGCAUCCGCCCCCACGACUAGUCCGAGUGGUUUUUUAGUCUAUUAGGUAUCAGUAGGUCCUGUGAUCGACUCCUGUGUGUAAUCUCGUUAUGUAUUUUUGGGACAAAAUUUUACACAAUUUUAGAAAUUAGUUGAUCAAAGGGUUGGGAUACCCCUAAGUGGAAAAUAUAUAUAUAUAUAUAUAUGCAUCCCCAUUCAUCAUUACUUUCUAAAGUGAUUAUAGAGCAAAUAAAAUUCAUGUUUAAAAUAUUUCUCAUGUUUCAGCACAUAUCACUAUUAAAGUGUACGGUCGUGUACAAAACCACUUGCUGUCAUCUUCAAAAUGAUGCCACCAUAUUUGCAACUUAUUUGCUGUGUCAUCUUAAAGUGUAUUUCUUUUGUUCAAUAUUUGCAAGUUUGCAUUUAAUCUUACUUAAAUCAAAAAAAUUAAAGUCCAUCAGAAGACAUAAUCAGAGGUACAAACAAUCAUAUCUAGCUCAAACAUUAGUCAAUGCUGAAAGUAAGAUACCAAAAAUACUAGCUGUUUAUUGCCAUCCAAAAUGGAGAAUACAAGGGGGACAAAAGAAAGAAAAAAAACGUACUUAAAAUUAAGCAUCAGAAAAAAAAAAAAAUUGGAGAAGGGUGAACAAGAAGAAGAAAUGCAAUCUAAGUGGGAACAAGAAUCCAUUUGCACAUUAUGUAAGAAUCCAUUUGCAAAAUAAAUAUAAAGAUUAAAGCCUUAAAGUUUAUCAAAAUGAUUGAAGUGAAAGGUGGGAAGCACUAUCAUUGUCUAUUACUAAGCACACGCACAAGAUUUCAAGUCCUUCCGUUUUCAAAUGUACACAAAAGCAGAACUAUAAAAUACAUAAAAGAAAAUACUAAUUCAAAAAUAAAAAGUUAUAUACAAGAACAAUGUCUAGAUAUCAUUGCUAAAUCCUAGGAUAUUGCCAUAUGUGGUUUUUUUUUCUUUAGCUGCAAAUUGGUUUCAUAGAUCACUAUGUGAAUAAUUAUUGUCAUCAAGUUGUUCUUCAUGCAUAGUAGCAAAGCAAGUCUUGAUAAAUGAUUGCUCAGUGGCAUGUUUCUCAUUUCCCACCUUUUGAUGUUGGAUGUUAACUUCAUCAUCAAUCAGCAAUUCCUGCACUCUUGUUCACCAUGGGGAUAUACAGAUCUACUGACAUAUAUCACCUGAGAUAAAUCUAUCAAGGCUGGUUGUCUAGAUUGUUAAAAAAAAAAUUUUUGCAUUAUGCCAACAACUUGUGGUAAAAACCAUCAUCACCAAUAAUAGCACACCUGAGAACUAUGAACUUUUCACCUUGAAAAGACUUAACAUCAUUGAAGUGAUACUCAUAAUAAUAAAAAAAAAGUAAUAUUUAUAAUAAGCAUACAUAAAAGAUAUCCAUGGUUAAUGAAUUAAAUAAAAUAAGGAUAUAAAAAAAUAGCGAAAUCAAAUUCACACCCCUACAGUCUAAUACCACACAUUGCAUAAGUCUACAUUACAUGGCACACAUCAAUAAUAUAAGUUAACGGGUGCUAAUUUAGAAUAUAGGCGAGUACACGUGUGAUCUAGCUCGAAUUGUUCCCAAAAAAAAAAAACAGAGAGAGACCAAAAUAGAGGAAAAAAGAGAGAGAGAGAGAGAGAGAAAGGUUAACCUAGUAGAAUGUAGGUGAGUACGGGUGUAAAUUAGCCUGAGUCAUACCCAACCCAAAAAAUGAAAAGAUGACCAAAGAGAGGAAAAAGAAGAAAAAAAAAUUGAGAGAGAGAGAGAGAGAGAGAGAGGAGGGGGGUUAGCCUAGUAGCAAGUCAUCAACUAAACCAUACUGAGUACCAAGAGGUGUUGGAAUACUUCAUCAAAAGAAAAAGGUGGGGAACCCACCAUGAAGGCUAAGGCCAACAUCUCAGAGCCUUUAAGACUCAAAGAAGAUCCUCGUUUCUGGCCCUCUUCUGUUUAUAAAUGUGUUGUCCAGUUUCAAUUCGGAAGCCAAAGUUAAGAGCAACUUCUUAACUUCUUCCUUCUUCACCAGUCACCACCACCACCAUACUAUAACAAAAAAACAGUACUUCAACUCGGCCAUGCCACUUAAUUCUGUAGCACCAAAACCAGAAAAUCCCAGCAUUCAACUGAUGGGAGGCCUGCCAAUAUCAUCAGAGUCCUGUGACAAUCCUUAUCUGGCUUACCCUAUACAGGCCAGAACACAGUCCUUUCUGCAAAUGACCUUAAACCCCAUAACUCUAAAGGUCUUAUUUUCACACCUUUUUCUUUUGGACAUUUCAUACAUGCAAGCACAUGCAUUUCCCCAGUCGGAAAAUAGUUCAAGGCAUAUAGUUUUAUUUGUGACAUAGCCCUCAAGGCAUGAAGCUCGUUCACAGAGGAUUACUCAUAAAUAAGAAUUUGAAAUUACUUCUUUUUUUUUCCAUUAAGCAGUAAUUUGAAUGUUCUGCUUAUUUGUCUUACUUAUUAUGCAGUUUGAAGAGAUUGUCUACAAGAUCAGAAUUGAAACGAAAGGAAUGUGUUGUGGCCAAACAUUGAGCAGCAAAGAGAAGAUAAUACUGAACGGGCUAACAGGUAUGGUUUGUCCAGGGGAGAUACUGGCCAUGUUAGGUCCAUCAGGCAGUGGAAAAACAACCCUCCUAACAGCCCUUGGGGGCCGCCUCACCAGCAAGUUAUCAGGAAAGAUCACAUACAACACCCAGCCUAUAUCAGGUCAUAUCAGACGUCAAACCGGGUUCGUUGCCCAGGAUGAUGUCCUGUAUCCCCAUCUAACUGUGUUUGAAACUCUCCUGUUCACUGCACUACUGAGGCUGCCAAAAACCCUUACCAAGGAAGAGAAAGUCCAGCAUGUGGAGCAAGUUAUUGCAGAAUUGGGAUUGAGCAGGUGCCGCAACAGCAUGAUAGGAGGACCUCUAUUUCGAGGAAUAUCAGGUGGAGAGAAAAAGAGGGUCAGCAUUGGCCAAGAAAUGCUAAUCAAUCCAAGCCUACUGCUGCUAGAUGAGCCCACCUCGGGGUUGGACUCGACCACAGCCAUGCGCAUUUUGACCACGAUCAAGCGUCUUGCUAGUGCUGGUCGGACGGUGGUAACCACAAUCCAUCAGCCUUCCAGCCGGCUCUAUCAUAUGUUUGAUAAGCUGGUCUUGUUGUCGGAGGGCAGCCCAAUCUACUAUGGUCCUGCAUCAACUGCCCUGGAAUACUUCUCUUCAAUUGGCUUUUCCACAACACUCACCGUCAAUCCUGCAGAUUUCUUGCUUGACCUUGCGAAUGGUAAUCAGAUAAUCAAUAAGACCAACUCUUUUUCUGUCCUUUAUCAGUCAAAGAACUUCGGACAGCUUGAGUUUUCAAAAAACCUGCUAUCCAAAUGAAAUUCAAGAAUCAACUCUAAGAAUAGGCUCUAGAUAUUUGCAUGUAACAUAUACUUUUUAUGCUGCGAAGUUUAAAGCUGAAUCAAGUUUCGAUAGACCGAGCAACAAAAGUGAAAAAAAAAUCUAUAUAUUCAUCAGAAUCCUGACCAGUUACCAUUAAAACUUUUCAGGAAUUGGGCCUGACGCCAAGCAUGCAAUUGAGCUAGGUGAAAGUGCUGAGAAGGAACAAAAAUUAGUGAGAGAAGCUCUGAUAUCCGCUUAUGACAAAAACAUUGCUACAAGGUUGAAAGCUGAGCUAUGCAGUUUAGACAUCAAUAAUUAUGCUUACGCAAAGGAUUCUUCCACUAGUGAGUUCAAUAGCCUUCCUCUCAAAUAAGUUAUCUUUCUCAAUCACAUAGAAUUAUUAGACUUCAGAUAGUUCUCACUUCUCUCAUUUCAAAUUCUGUCUAAUUUACAGUUGUUUUCUGGUGUUCAAUCAAAUGCAGAACGUGAUGCAAAGUCAGAGCAAUGGUGCACGAGCUGGUUUUAUCAGUUCAACGUGCUGCUACUGCGGGGGCUUAGGGAGCGGAGGUAUGAAACCUUCAACAGACUAAGAAUUUUCCAAGUCAUCAGUGUUGCAAUACUUGGCGGACUUCUCUGGUGGCAUACCCCAAUGUCCCACAUUGAAGAUCAAGUAAGAAUGGAUCCACUUACUCACAUUAUUUGCAUAAACAAUCAUAGUGGCAGCUGUCACUUUCUUUUGAAGGCCAUGAUAAUUAUGAGGCUGUUCUGGUUGCUUUAGAUUUUACUAAAAGUUGUUUAAUCAGAAUCACCAAAGCCUACUCUUGCAUAGGUUCUAGAUAAAUCUAAAAAUUUAGGUUGUUUUCUUGUUAGAAACUCUAAAAUUUUAGUUUUUUAGCUUGUUAGAAAAUCUAAAAUCUAGACAUAAAAGCAAAUGAGAACAGCUAAAAAAAACUAAUUUUUCAGAUCAGAAUCUAAAAUCAGGUGAAAGAAUCAAACGAGAACGUCCGCUAUAUCAAGAAUGCAUCUUGAUGUUGAAUAGACCAAGUCAUUGGAAGACCAUUAGAGGGCGCCCACAUCUGAUAAUGCGCAUGAUCUACAGAAAAUCGCCGAGAGUACAGUUAUUAUCAUUUUACCUUGAGAGUUCUUUGGAAGCCUCUAUAUUCAAUGAAGACAUAAGAUAUGCUUCUUCAAAUAAAACAGCUACUUCUAAGAGAUACUAACCUAAGUUCAUUUCCUAUAUGCAGAUUGCUAUGUUAUUCUUCUUCUCUGUUUUCUGGGGCUUUUACCCAAUCUACAAUGCUGUUUUCACUUUUCCCCAAGAAAGAAGGAUGCUUAUCAAGGAAAGAUCAUCUGGAAUGUACCAUCUGUCCUCCUACUUUCUAGCUAAAACAGUGGGCGAUCUUCCACUAGAGCUUGCUCUGCCAACUGCCUUUACCUUCAUAAUUUAUUGGAUGGGUGGGCUCAAACCAGAACCAGCCACCUUCAUCCUUUCCCUUCUCAUUGUUCUGUACAGUGUCCUUGUUUCGCAAAGUCUAGGAUUGGCCUUUGGUGCAAUACUUAUGGACGUAAAGCAAGCUACUACCUUAGCAUCAGUAACAACGCUAGUUUUCCUCAUUGCUGGUGGUUACUAUAUUCAACAAAUCCCUGCUUUCAUAGUCUGGUUAAAGUACUUGAGUUACAGCUACUACUGUUUCAAGCUGCUUCUUGGAGUGCAAUACAAUGGGAAUGAUUAUUAUGAGUGCUCCAAGGGAGUAUAUUGCCGGGUUGCAGAUUUCCCUUAUGUCAAAUCAGUAGGUCUAAACCAUUUGUGGAUUGACGUGUCCAUCAUGGCACUCAUGAUGGUGGGCUAUCGGUUCAUUGCUUAUCUAGCAUUGCGCAGGGUCAGAUGAAGAAGGUUCAAUUCAGGAGCAUGAUCACCAAGGCCUGUUGAAGAGUUUUCCAUUUCUUCAACUGAGCAAUAAUCUUAGGUUUAGAUGAGAAUGCCACUGUCAGAUUAUGAUCACAAGUACCUGGAUAGUUGGAUGUAUCACAUUCUGGCAAUGGUUUGCAAAAAACUGACUUACAAAAGUGAUCAAGAUUUGCACAAUAAAUGUGUAACACUCUUAAUAGUAAGACCCAGUCUUAUAGAAGGAGAAUGAUUUUCCCAGUGUCAAAAAAGAGGGCAUGUUAAGGCAACUCAAAGUCCACUGUAUUCCAGAUCCAUGUGGGGGCAUUACAAUCGCCACUUUAUGGUAGUAACUCCUACAGAUGCAUUGACCACAAAAAGAAGGCACUCUUUUAAAGAAUAAGCAAAUUUAAGUACAUAGAGUAAUUAUAUUGGACAAACGUUUUAUGUCUGGAAGUGCACCAUAACAUUGCUUUUAUCUAUCUUCUUUGUUCAGUCUCUCUGUUGUCUAAUCCUAAGUUUAUAGUAGGGACAGAAAGUGGGACUAAGAACACUUUUGGCUUCUAAUCAAGGUCAUGGUCUGAAGGGCCACGAAGACCUCUUUAUCUUUAAGGAGACGUUUGAACAUAUUUUGUUGCUACAUCUUUAAAUCUUUAUACAGUUCCAGGACAUGUCAUACAUGUUUACUGUAUGGACAGGAGGAGGGAUUCAACAUAAGCUUUUUUCAAUGGCAUGGAGAUUUUGACGGAAACCAGAAAUUCUGUGAAUAUUUUUGCAAAAAGAAGUCAAACCCUUGAAUCUUGAUGUAAAACAGAAGUCAAAAAAAUGGAGAGAUAACUACAGAAUUGAAAAUAUAAUUUUCCGAAAAAAUUCUCAAUCAACAAUCAGCUGAUUAUGCAGGACAAAAGGUGGUCAAAAACGAUUUGAUGUGGUUGACAAACUUCAAUCUCAAGAAUAAUAGAUCUCAAUUUUCCUGUUUAUCACAUGGACUGGACAAUAAAAACAAACAAGAAAGGAGGAGCACAGAGAAUCAAGCAACAGAACACUAUACCGGAGAAGGCUAGCAAUUCUAACCUCAAUUCCAGAAGCCAUAUUUCUUCGUGGUGAUGAGAGAAAUUCUUGAACUGCAUGAUAUCGAAAGGAGGUCAAGUUCCACAUGAUGCUGAUACAGUAGCGGCUGCAACAUUAUGCAAACAAGAAGUGACCCCCAAAAUCCUUGUCAUUUUUACGUCAACGUAGUACCCCAUGCACCGCUCCCUAUAAGGUUCUAGAUUAACAAUAAAGGCCUGAAAUCCAUAGAAUCCUGCUCAUCUCUCGGAUAGAUUAAUGGUUGCAGAUAUCCAUUGAUGGCUAAUGAAGCAGAUCUUGCGUUAGCUGUUAAUUAGAAGGUUGGUAGAAAGGAGAAAUGGAAGAAAUAAACACAGAUACAAGCUGAAGUGGAUUCAAUUCUUCGAGACGGGCCACGAAAGGCCAAGUUGAGAGGGAAUUGUGAUCAGUACAUGAUGAACACCCGGCGACACCUAUGCUGAAUGAGUACAUGACUCCAAUACAGGUCAACAAAAUUGCAAUGAAUCUGCUGAUUUCAUGAUGAUUCUAAGGCAACUGGAGAUCACUGCUGACAGAAGUCAAGACAACUGGCUACCGAAAAUUUGAUAUUUCUUUAAUAUGCAAUGUCUCGUGAAUCUACCUCUCCCAGUCAGGCUUGAAGCCGCAGAACAAUCCAGAAUUUUUAGCGAAAUAACCAUUCCAUUUCAAAUUUUUCAUACUGAGCAAAGCUUGAGACUUAAAUUAACUAAUGCAAGAAGCUAACCUCAUGUAGAUCAAAGUACAAUUGACAAGAAGCAAAUAAGCAAACCCAUAGAGCAUGGUUCACUGUUGCGGAUCACGGUCGUGGAUGUUCCACAUCCGUCGCAGCAUAUUGAUUGAACAUCGGGUGAUACAUACAUUAUAAUAAAUAAAAUUUUCCAAAAAAUCUGAAAAAAUUACUAAAAAUAGAGAAUACCAUAAAAGGCACAAUUACCAAAUUAAAUUUACUAAAUACCUACAUGAUCAUAAAUAGUUACUAAUUAUUUAAAUAAAAUAAUGCUGCCAUUACCAUAAACCUAUAGCAUUAGCAAUAAAUGAUUUUAGCAUCAAGUGUGCUUUCUAAUCCUAUUUUAUAUGAGAUCAAAAAUUAUAUAUAAAAAUAAAAUCAUCAUAUCUUACAUAAUACAAUACGAAUCCCAGUACACAAAGGAAGUAGUGGUGUUUAGUUCAAUACAAUAAAAGAAACAAAUACCUAUUAAAUAAUAUUAUGAAAUAUAAAGACAUAAAGAAGCAAGUGUUUUCACCAUAUUCUCAAUACACAUUUUCAUCCUAUAUUGAUCCCAAUUUCCUAAAAUAAAAAAUAAUAAAUAUCACUGAAAUAUUAAAAUUAAUGAAUUAUGUACAACUAUUGAAUUCUAUCAAAUAUAGUAAAAUUAUAUUUUUACUUUGUUUACAUACCUAUUAAUACCAUGUGGAAUGACGAGGAGGUUCAAAAUCAUGCUCAUCUCCCAACCGAUUAUAGUAAGAAUAUAACAUUUGUAGUUAGUUUCCUUCAUGUGAAUAAGGAGAAAUGUAUGAACCAUAUUGUUCGUCUCUUAAAUUUGAUGACGUACUAGAUAAACCAUGAUUAAAAUGUGACAAAGGUGGUAGAUUUGAUCUUAAUGAACCCUCGAUAGUGUAAACUAUCAGUGGUGCUAUUAGAUGAACCAUAAUUGUGUUCAUAAUAGCCAAUGCUACUUGAUUCAGAUGUAGAUCCCUCAUGAUAUAUUCUAGUUGGCUGAUGAUAAUAUUCAUUAGUAGAAACACUAGUGGACCUCUGAAGAUGGCUAGCUCCACUAUAUGAUCCGUAUUCAGAGUAAUAACAAGUAGAACCUGCAUGUAAUCGCUCAAACUCAUGUCCUAGCCACCUAGUACCCAAACUAUUACCAGAAUUAUAGACUCCAUAUGAAUGACCUAUAUUUAAAUCUUGCAUGAGCUUAUGAAAUUCAGAAUAUCUCCUAGAAUUUGAGUAGUAAAAAGAGUCACCUUCACUCAAAAAUUCAAUUAUUCUGCUCAAAUGCUGCUACUGUGCUUUUAUGCCACGAUGAUAUCCAUGAUCAGUGUCUUGAGUAGCAUACUAGUUAUUAUCUGUUUGAACCCAUGACAUGCCACCAGUACAUUAGCUAUUAUGAUAGUUACCACCACUACCACUAAAAUUUUUUGUUAAGAAUGUCUCGUGUUUGCCCCUCCAUUAUCAUCAUCAUCUUUUCCACCGCUAGAGGUGUUGGUAGAGAAAGAUGAAAUGGGUUUUGAUAUAAUUUUUUUCUAUCUAGUACUCUUGUCUUUGCUCAUAAAUACUUGCUCUUUAUGUUUCUUUUUCAUACCAAUUAUGAAUUGAGACAAAAGCAUAUCAUUAUCAUCAUCAUUAUGAUGACUUUGUUCUCUCCCUCCCUUCACUUUCAUUGAUGUAUUUAUUCAACCAACUUAAAUCAUCUUCACAAAUCAAUCGCGGCUCAUUUUCUCAAAUCCACUCAUCUAAUAUAUCAUUUUCAUCAAAAAUGUGAUUUAAAUAAAUUGGGUUAUAAAAAUCAUCGGUGUCAUUUUUAUACAUCAAAUUCUUCAUUCUGAGCCACAUGUUGUAGCGCACAAAUACCAACUUGUUCAACAUUUCAAUUGGCAAUUGAUUUCAAAGUUUUGUAUGUAUCAAAGACCACGUACUCCAAAUUCUUUCAUAACCAGAUGAUGUACAAGUUUGACUCAGAACUUUAAUUACAAUUUUUCUUAAAUUAGGAACUUCUUCACCAUAUAUGUUCCACCAUAUAGCUAUUAAAAACAUAGAAUGCAAAAAAAUAGUAAAUAUGAUGCAUAUAUAACAAGUAUCCUUAAACUGAUAUAAUAAUGCAUAAUAUAAUUUAAAGGACAAAAUCAUAUUUAUUAACCUGAUAAAGAUGUAGCUACUGCUUUAAUUGCAAGUGCACUUCCAAACUCUCCAAUGUUGUUCACAAAUGUGUUUGUCUAAGGAUACCACAAAGUUAGAAUAUUAGAAAUUUAAAAAAACACAUAAAGUAAUGCAGAUUAAUAAAUAAUGGCUAUUAUUUUACCUUAUUCAUUGCUUUUGCUUGCAUUUCUAAAUUUAGUUCAAACCUUUUAAUUACUUCUUUCAAUCCUUUUCUAAUUUCAGAUGUAUUAAAUUCACAAGUGCCAGAAUAUUGAAGAACGAGAUUUAAGAAAUAGGCUGGACCAAUGACAUAAAAAAUAAUCAAGUGGGAAAAUCUUUAGCACAAAAUAAUUUGUUUAAAAAAAUAUUUAUUUAUAAGUGUCAAACAUAAUGACCUGUUGCAUGCAAGUCUUGUGUAAAUGCUUAUACCAUCUGUCAUCAAUAAUAUCACAGUAUUUUUGAAAGUCUUUCACUGCAAUUUAUAUUGUCAUUUUAGCCUUAUCCAUUUUCUCAUAUAUAAUGGGUAGUGUGGGUUUUUUAUCCUAAUCGAUCACUUUUAAAACUUUCACUAGCGGCUCCAUGAUUGCACAUACCCACCAUACCUUUUUCCAAAAUCUUUCUAACAAAAUCAAGUCAAACACUUCAGCAUCUUCUUCCCUUCUUUUAGAACUGCUAUUAUACUCUUACCACUCAUUUGAAGUACACAUUCGUUUCAACUCGGUAGCAUGAUGAAGAAGACUUUCUAUUGCAAUGAUCUCGGUAGCAAAUCUUGUUAUGUCAGGUUACAAUAACUCUCUAUUAUUUGUAUAUGUCUUCAUUAGAUUUACCAUUUUGUCACUAUUGUAUAUAAAACUGGUAAUUCUCCUACCUUGUUUGAUGGCAUCUUUUAUUGACUUCAUCUGAUCAAUGUCUUCCAAAAUCAAAUCAAUGCAAUGCGUAGCACAUGGUGACCAGAACAAAUGCUUCCUUUUCUUCAUCAAUUGCUCCCCAGUUGCUUUCAUACUAGAUUCGCUAUCAGUGACAAGUUGUACAAUAUUUUCUUCUUCAAUGGAAUCCACAACCUUAUCCACUAAGGAUAAAACUGGUAAUUCUUCUACCUUGUUUGAUGGCAUCUUUUAUUGACUUCAUCUGACCAAUGUCUUCCAAAAUCAAAUCAAUGCAAUGCGCAGCACAUGGUGAUCAGAACAAAUGCUUCCUUUUUUAUUAGUUGCUCCCCAACUGCUUUCAUACUAGAUUCGCGAUCAGUGACAAGUUGUACAAUAUUUUCUUCUUCAAUGGAAUCCACAACCUUAUCCAUUAAGGAUAAGACAAAAUUUGCAGCCUCUACCUUGUUUGUACUGUCGACAAAGUUGUGGUAUAUUAUGUCUCUAUCAUAGUACACCAUGAAAUUAAUGAUUGGAUGCUUUGUCCGAGUACUCUAGCCAUCACACAUGAUUGUGCACCCAUAUGUUUUCCAUUUGUGUUUAAUGGAACUAAUUGUCGGUCAACGUCUGCCAUCUCCUUAUUUAGAUAUUCACCUCCAAUUUGUCUACCUGUUGGCCCUUUAAAUCCAAGUCCAGCACUAUCAAUUGUGUCAAUCAUCGAUUGAUAAUAAGUUCCACAAUCAGCCACAUGAAAUGGUAUGGCAUUAAAAUGAAAAAAUUUUGCAAUUGCCUUACCAACUUUUUUGUCAUUUUCUUUGGAAAAUUAAUCUUUUAUUGACUUAUUUUUUAAGGGAAACAUGUAUGGAUCAAUUCCUUUGACCCCAAACCUCCUGCCUUAAACUUAAAACUCUGUGAGAAAGCUCUUUUACUUCUAGAGAACAAUAGAUUAGGUAUAUUCGAACUACUACUCCCUACAAUAUAGUACAUAAAAGAUUGUAAUAUUUUUUUAUUAAAUAAGUCUUGUACUCUAAAAAUGAUAUAUUAAUUUUUAGAUAUUUCUACAUACAUACCAGACGUAAAAUUCAUAGUUGGCUAACUUCCAGAUACAUAAUGCCUAGGUUGCUCUUCCAUAAAUCUCAUGUAUCUACUUUCAUCCAUAGCUCACUUGUAUUGCUUUCUUUCUAAAGCUUCCAUUUCAUCUUCCUUAAGUUUGAAGAUAUCAUCCUCGUUUUCACCUAGCAGAUUGAUGGAAUGGAGUAAUGAUUGUUUUUUCUUUUGUAUUUCAACUAUUGCACUCUUACCUUAAAUCAAGUGUUUCUUUAAAAGCUCUCUUAUUUCUUUUGGAGCUACAGGACAUGUUUUUACUUGUCGUGCUACAUGGCUAAUAUGUUGUUUCAUCCUUAUAAUUCCUCAGUGUACAAUUUUACCACAAUAAUUGCACUUUGUAACCUUUCUGGUAAUGACCAGUUGGAGUAACAUGAUCCCCACCAAUGCCUUGAUUUGAACCCAUUUUACAAUGUCCUUAAAUUAGUUAAAUAAUUGUAGGUGUGAUGUUAAACAUGCAAAUAUGUGUUAUUCAGAUAAGAAUAAAAUUAUUAAAUUUUAUUAUCUAAAUAUAUUAAAAAUUUUCCGAUCAAGUUUAAUUAUACAAGAUAAUCUAUACUUUCACAAUUUGCCCACUUCAAUUUUUUUGUUUAACUAAGUGGAACUUGUAAGUAAACUUUUUUUUUCCUUUUUCUAAUUAAUUUACCUAAAAUCAUUUUAACCAAUAUAAUUGAGAUAUAUGAAAUAAAUAAAUUACAUUAUUGAUCAUUAAAAUGUAUCCAAACAAUAACUAUAUAUUUUCUAACUAAAACUUAGAUAAGAAACUACUGAUAUUAUAUAAUAUAUUAAAUAUAAAAUUAGCAAUGUAAUAAAAAACAUCAUAUACUUAAUAAUGUAUAAAAAUGCCAAAAUGCAUUGCAUAAAUUUACAAAUAUUGAAAUAUCACAUCUGAAUACUAAAUCCAGAAAAAUUAAAAUUGAGAAACUACUUUGAAAGAAGAUGUGGACCUUUUGGCCUGAUGUUUGAGUUUAAGAUUAGGAGUCCAAUCUCCUAAUUACUUAGGCCAAAUUUGGACUUUAAGAGUUUUUAAUUUUUGCUUCUUUUUUUUCCUGUCUUUGGCUCCACUAGAAAAGCCCAACUACUCCAAUUUUAGCUGAGUUCCACGUACUCCAAAUUUAGUCGUUGCUUUGGUUCUUUCUUCUCCCUUUUGCUCUUUCUUCUCUUCUCUGUAGACCAAUUGUCGAGCCCUAUUUCUAAAAAAAAUGAAUUAAUGAUUAAAAAAUGAAUUUUUAUUUUAAAGAACAUUGGCGUAUAAAAAUGUAAUUUUUAUUAAAAGAUGAGUAAAAAAUGAGUUUUAGUUCUUGAUUAGUUUUUAUUUUAGUUUUAAAUUUUGUAAAAAUAAAAAGAAAGAAAAAGAGCCUAAAAUGGGACUUAAAAAGUGCGACAGUUUUGGCUCAAAAUAAUAGUCUAAAAAGGGUUUCUAAGAAAAAUAGGAGUGGUCACUUGGUAUUGAGUUAAGGUGUACCAAAUCACCCAAAAUAUGUUUUUAAGAUAAAAGAUAAAAAAAAAUAAACCCUUUUUAAAUGACUCCAGAUUUUUGAAAAGAAGAGAAAAGAGUUCGGGAGUCACAGUUGAAAAAAUGGAAGGCAAAGAUUUGAUAGAAUCAAACCUAAGGCACCCUGUCAACCUAGCCAAAGUUAGUUGCGAGAUUUAGUCGAAAAUUUUUCGAGCCUUACCUAUGAAAACUUAUCACAUUAGAAUGUUUCUAUAUGGAUGCAAACCUAGACCUAGGGGGGUAUCGAGAGGGUCGAGCUGUCUCUUCAAAAUUUAAAUGGUGCAAUCACAUUAAUUGUGAUGCCCAAAAUGAUUUUUAGAAAAGGUUACGAAUAUGCAAAAGAUAAGAAUAGAAGAAAAGAAGAAUUAUAAUAUAUAAAUAUACAUGACCUAAAAGAGAGGAAUGCAACAUAACGGGUAUGAGGGAUCUAAAUUCGUGACUCAAUUUUCCUUUCUCUAGAGGAGAUACAAACGUGUUAAGCCUUAGAAACUAUACUCGUCCAUUUCCCAUAUUUGAAGAGUGACUCUCCUAACUAGUCAAGCAAAUGAACUAACCUAUUUCUCAUUUCCUAUUGGAAUGCAAGUCUAAAUGUCAUGUUUCACACACAUAGGGGUAAGUGAGAUAAGGAAAUUUCAUGCCAAUGAAGAAAAGGAUCCUAAAGGUGAAAAGUAUGCAUGAAAUGCAAUAAAUGUCAAACAAAGUAUGAAUUCUAACGCGAAAACGGCCUAAAAGGUCUAGCAUUGUACUAACUCAUUUCUAUAAGUCCUCACUAGCGUUGAACUAGUGAGAAAUCGGGGAGCAAACCACAACUAACAUUGGACUAGUGUGAUGACGUCAUGCAUUUAUUAUAACUAAAUAAAUCAUAUAAAACAUAAUUAAAACAAGUAAACACAUAAUGCACAUAGAAUGCAUAACAAAUAGGCAUAAUUUCUAGAUGCAAAACCCUAGUGAAAGCGAAUAAACAUGUAAACACACAAGCAUGCAAGCACACAAGCAAAUAAAUGCAAAUAAAAGCUUAACUAUAACAUUCGAGACCCUAACUACAAUCUAAGAGGAAAUUUUUUUUUAAAAAAAAAAUAACCUAACUAUUACAUUUAUCUAACUAAAUACAUUUUUGACAAAAAUUAAAACCUAUCUAUUACAUAUGCUAACUAAAUACAUGUCUUGAGUAUCUAUCUAUUACAAAUUGACAUUUAAAUGCCCUCAAAUAAUCAUCAAAAAUUAAAUAUAAUAAAUAAAAAUUUAAGAUGAAUAAAAUUCAUAAAUAAAAGAAAAAGCACUCAAAACAUGCAAUCACAUAUAAAAAGCACAUAAGAGCACAUAAAGGAAUUUAAAAUAAUACUAGAAGGUAUCUCCCUUUGAAGUAUUGGUUAAAUGAAGUUGGAUUUGCCCUAUUAUACUCCAAGAUCAACAAAAUGGUCAAAACAUCAAUUUAAUUAACAAAUAAAUUAUAAAGCAACGGAAAUAACCAUGAAAUCUAGCAAUUAAAACAUUUAAAUAAAGUAUAAUUAACAAUUAAAGAAGAUAAACAACUUACAUUUAAGAAAUCAAAACUGUCAGAGACCUAAUUGCAAAAUUGAGAACGUUUUUGGGAUCAAAUAAUAAUUAUUACAAAAAAGGGGUCAAAUCAAAGAAAAAUAAAGUUUAGGAACCAAAUUACAAUUAAAUUAGGGACCUAAUUGAAAGAAAUAAAAAAAAUUUAGGGCCAUAAUAUAAUUACUUAGAAGUAUAGGGACCAAGUUGCAAUUUUCAUUUUCUGGUUUGGCCAGAAAGGGCCUUGGGCAUCCUUCAAAUUUUUCUUUGGGCCAAAGUUACCUAGGCUUAAUGAAAAGUCCAGAAAAAUGGGUGGACUAGCCUGUCAUUUUUACUAAACUAAGUCUGGUGAAAAAAGGUUGGGCUUAAACCCCAAGUUCGGUCAUAAACCCAAGCAAAAAGGAAAAUCUUGGCCCAAAUUUUUUUAACCCAAAACAUGUUUUAUCAACCCAUCAUGGCCCAUAUCAGAUCAAAUGAAGUAAAACAAACAAGAUAAAAUUGGAGGAAAAUAGAAAGAAAAUAAGUGAAAAGCAUUCUGGCGGGUCUGAAAACAUUCGCCGGAAUCCAUUUUUACCGGCUUUUAAAGCCGAAUAUUGAUAUAAACAUACUCCCCAUGAUCUCUUGAGUUAGUUAAAACAUCAAACAUCACCAUUUAAACAACAAAAUUGUGAGAAAAAAGAGAUCUAAGAUGCAAAACCCGUAAAACUCAUGUAAUAGCUUAAAAAACACAUGAAAAACGUUAGAACAACCAAGAAAAAGGGUUAUAAUUACCUGAGGAAGUUAGGGAACUUGAAUAGAUGCGAGAAAUCACAGUGAAGCGUGCCCUGAUUCCGAAAGUGAAGCAAAACACUUCUUGUCGUAGAAGUUUAAGAGUUGAGAAACUGGCAACUUCAGGCUCGAAUUCGAAGGUUCUGGAAGUGUUUUUUCAGGAAACUUUCAACAUGAAAACUCCCCUACUACGUCCAUGAAGUAUCCAGAAAUCAAGAAUCGAUCUCAAAGAAGUCAAGACGAAGAAGAAAAUGGCGUCUGAACAGGGCUGCCCGUUCAUUCCUAACUCAAUUUUUUCUGAAAAUUCCCUGCUACUUUUUCUUCUUUUUCCUUCUCUGUUUUCCUUCCUUUUCUAUUUUUCGGCCGCCUCCAACUCUUUUUUCUACCCUAAUGGCCGCAUUUCUAUGCAUUUAUAUGGAACAAAAACCCUCCCCCCAAACCCUAUGAGCAAUGGUGGAGAUUGGUUGGCUUUUUGGGGAUGAUUUGGAGCAAUUAGAUGGCUGAUUUUGGAUAAGAAUUGGAAGAUGAUUUGACCCUUGUACUGGGGGGCUCAAAAGGAAAGAAAAAAUGAGUGGAAUUAGGAUCAAAUGGCCGCUGCAAUUCUCUGGUACUAUGGCCUCGUUGCUAGUUUUGUACCAGUUUUCAUGAAGGAAAAUUUUUUUUUUUAUAAAAACUGAUUUUAAUUUUUGUUUUCUGCUUUUUUGUUUUCUUUUAUUUCUAAUUUUCUAAAAAUAAAUUGAAAUUAUUUUCUUCAGAAAUAGAAAUGAAACAAAAUAAACUAAAAUAAAUAAAAUUUAAACAAAAUGAACUAAAAAUGAACAAAAAAUAGGAAUAAAAUGAAGAAAAAUAAAAUGGUAACAUUUUGGCGUUUACAACUUGCCUCUCUUUAUCUGAGUUUCGCAAAAAAUCGAGAUAAAGACGUAGACACUGUGACGACCCCACUUCUCCUUAGGGUGUGAGCCGCCUACCUAGCUUUCGUCAGGGCUCAAUACGAGUCAAAUUUAAAGUUAAAGGUAAUCAACCACUAAUAAAAGUUAAUAUAAAGAAAAGUCGCUUCCUUAUAUAAUCAUUUGAGUCUUAUAUCACAAAGUUUCCAAAAGGUACAUCAAAUUUCCCCAAAAAUACAACCACCAUAAGUCGACUAAUCAAUUACAUUCAUAAUUGUACCAAAAUAAAGUCAAGACAGCUUCUCCAAAAAUCUUUCCAUUCCGAGCCCCUGUUAAGGAAAACAAACUACGGGGGUGAGUUAACAUUUAGUGAGGCCAAGAAAAGCAUGCAAACACAUAAGUUCAAGUAACAAUAACACUGGUACAAGAAAUAUAGUUAGAAAGUUCAUGUAAUUCACAAAUAACAGUAAAACACAAUCAAUAAGGAUACGGGAGCUCUCAGGAGCUAAAUUCCCCUUUGCUUUGCCAAGGCUUGAUCCAAUACCUCCACGUGAUGACACUCCGUCAACCGAGUAGGUAGCAAGUCCGUAGAAACCCCGCUUACUUCCUCCAUCCCUCAUUUCACCCCCUUGGAUCCGUAACCAAACACUCACUGGAAGGGCGAUACUACUCGAGUAUGGCAAGCAAGAUCUCAAAAGAUCAAACUUAUAAUUUUCUCAUGGUUCACCGGGCUUCUCGACCAAGCCCAUACUGGCUCAAGUCGCAAGGUUAGCCAAUGAGUUUUGGGCGUCCCCAAAUGUACAAAUACAAUUUGCCAAGUUCACGUAAUUCAAUUAUCAAGUCACAUUCACACAAGUCAAUUAUCUAGUCAAGUAAAAGAGAACGAGUGCGAUAAAGUACACACUCGUCUUGACAAGUCCAAAUCACUUAAUUAACAAGAAACAAUUCAAGUAUUUAGCAACAAUUCAUGCACUUGACACUCACCAAAUCAAAAGUAAGUGAGCCAAUAAGGCCUUUAGUUGUCUGCACUGAGAUUCCCUUCGAAACUCUCUUGAGCACCUGAAGAAAAAGUGACCAACCAUCACUCACGUAUACUUUAGACCUCUUAACAUUCAAGAAAGAAAAUGCACUUGCUUAAAAUUAAGACAACGCCUUAAAAGAGCUUUUCUCAUCGAACAUCGAGAUUCAAAAAUGAGAAUUUAAAAUCUCAAGUGAACUCAUAUCAUUCAUGAAAUCGAGUUUAAAAUGAACCAUCAAUCUCAAAAGGAAGUUGGAAGUUCAUAAAAGUUCAUUUCUUAAGAAAUCAGAAAUUUCCAGUUUUACGAGACAAUACUUGGAAAAUCAGAUCUUGAGUUUGGUAAGUCCAAAAAUGGGAAACUUUACACCGUUGGAAACUAGAUUCAUAGUACUAAAACUAAAAAUCAUUCAAAUCUCAGCUCAAAGCUACUAUUUCAUGAAGACACUUUUCCCAGAUUCCAACUAAAAAUCAUUCAAAUCUCAGCUCAAAGUUACUAUUUCAUGAAAUCAGGGCCGAACCAGUCUUGAUUUUUCAGUAAUGUUUGGAAAUUCAAAAAAAAUUCACAGAAAUUGAAUUAGCCUCUAAAAUUUAUAACACAGCAAGAGUUUCAAGUAAAGUUUCAAACACAACCAGAGGAACUAAAUUUGGAUUUUUGAACAGCAAGAUACAACAGUUUGAAGAUGGCUGGAUUUCACAACCUGUCCAACAAUUUUCCAGUUACCAGCUUUGACACCGUUUUGAAAUCAAACCAUAUCUAACUCUACACAAGUCCAAAUUGAGGAUGAUUUAUGGCGUUAGAAACUAGAUUCAAAAUGUUUCAAAUCAUCAGAAGACAUCAUUUUCAAACUCUUUUUACAAGUGAGACAAAAUUAAGCCACAAGAUACAAUUUCACAGUUUCUCGAGGAUAAACAGGUAAAACAGGUCAGUCCACUUUACUGAUUCGUUACGGGUCACUCAAAACGAAUUAGCAAGGAAAUUUUAUAUCGUUUGAAAGCUCUUGGUAUCUAGUUUUAAAUGCCAAAAACGGCACUUAACUUCGACUUUUGUACAAAGAUUUAUGCUCAGACAAAGUACCCCUAGUCGGCUGCCCUGGCAGCUAUUUUCCAGAUUUCUACCUUUCCACAAAACCCAAGUUUAAUGUAACCAAUUGAAAUGAUUUUUGAAAGACAAUUUCUACACACAUAAUACAACAUAUAACAAGCAUUUUAGCAGCCAUAUAACCAACAAAAAUUCAAAAUCCAAGCAAGACAACAGGGCAGCAAAUUCGGCCAGCCCCUCUCAAGAGUUUCUUUUAACUUUCUUUCCUCUUACCAAGCCAAUGUCAAGUCACUCAUCACACAAACAACAACAAUCAAGUAAAAAGCCUCAAGUCCACUACCUAAAGGCCACCUCAAGACCACUAGCCUAGGAUAUAAAGCAAGAAAUAAAAGUUCCUCAAGUCCUCUAGCCUAACUUCUUGAUUAAGGUUUCAAACCCAUGAAAUACAACCUUUACUUUUGGUAAAAUUUGAAACAUUAAAGAAGGAUGAGCUUGUUACCUCUUCAAGUUCUUGAACCCUAGGAAGAGCCAAGUUAUGCACCACUAACCACCAAGAAUUCACCACAAGAUGGAAGCUUCCUUCAAGUUGGAUCAACUACUAAAGGUUUGGAGGAUUUUGUAUGGAUCUUGGAGCAAGAUUGGUGAAGAAAAAUUGGAGCUUUUCUCCCUUCUUCUUGAGCUAGAGAGGGUCGGCCAUGGAGAGGAGAAAAAGGGGAGAAAGUGAGCUUUGAAAUGUGAUGGAAAAGUGAGGUGAAAGGUAGCUUUUGGAGGGUAAAAGUCAACUUUGAAUAGUAGCUCUAAUAGUGUCAUGCACUACCAAUUCGUUCUUGUUUGCUACACUUAAAUACUAAUCCUCUAAGGUGGUUCCUCUAACACUACAAAUACUCAUACUUACUAGUCUAAAAUUAAUUCUCCAAAAUUAUUGCACUUUCGGAUCGAAUAUCGCCUCGAAAAAUGUGUAUUCGCUAUUCCUUACUAGACGAGCCGCAGAAAAAUUAAAUUUGCUAACGGAACGUUUUAAAAAAAUAUAAAUGAGACAUUGCUCCAUGCAAAUAAAAUUAAAGUGGUUAAAAUAAAUUAUUCGGAGAAAACGGGUAAAUAAAUAAUUAAAUAAGCCAGUAAAAUAAAAUAAAAGUAAGAAAAAUUUGGGUCCUCACAAACACCAACUUAUUUACCUUUCUGGUUCAGCUGCAAUUGAAACAACUAGUAAAGCCUAAUUAAUCAGAAAACCCAAGCUUAGAAAACAAAAGAUUGGUGAGAUAAAAUCCAAACCUAACAAAAUAAAGGUUGGUGGGAUAAAACCCAAAUCCAACAUGGUUGAUGGAAUAAAACCCAAAUUUAACGAAAUAACAGUUGGUGGGAUAAAACCUCAACCCAACAAAAAAAACGGUUGGUGGGAUAAAAUCCAAACCAAUGAAAUGGCAGUUGGCAGGAUAAAAUUCAUUUCCAACAAAAUAGCGGUUUGUGGGAUAAAAUCCAAACCCAACAAAAUAGACAAAAUAACAGUUGGUGGAAUAAAAUUCAAACCCAAAAAAAUAACGGUUGGUAGGAUAAAAUCUAAACCUAACGAAAUAUCAGUUGGUGGAUAAAAUCCAAAUCUAACGAAAUAGUGGUUGGUGGGAUAAAAUCCAAACCCAAUAAAAUAACGGUCGAUGAGAUAAAAUUCAAAUCCAAUGAAAUAAUAAUUGGUGGGAUAAAACCCAAAUCCAACGAAAUAACGGUUGGUGGGAUAAAAUUCAAAUCCAACGGAAUAACGGUUGGUGGGAUAAAACUCAAUUCCAACAAAAUAACGGUUGAUGGGAUAAAAUCCAAAUCCAACAAAAUAAAACCCGACGAAAUAACAAUUAAUAGGAUAAAAUUCAAACCCAACAAAAAAAAGGUUUACAUGAAAAUGUGUUUGAAUCAAAAGCUGUGAAGUGAUUUUUGCUAUUUUACUAAACAAAUGUUAAACUUACUUGUAGAAUCAGAUAUCACUUUCGUGACAAAAUUUGUCCCAGUGUAAAUCAGACUUAGCUAAAUAAUUGUUGUUUUCUGUUCCUUCAAAAAGACAUGUCUAGUCCAAUCCUGCAAAAGGAAAUAAAAACAACUGUGAUAAAAUAUAAUGCCAUUACCGUGCGAUCCCUCAAACCUUGAGAAACAUGAGUCUUUUGAUAUCGGGCGACUGUUCGAUUUAAACAUCUUGUUUAACCUUCCUUUUGAUCUGCUAGUAUCUGUACUCAAUCAACCAUACUUAUACCAUAGAUAUACACUCAUUACGGUAAAUUACGGGGAUCGUCUCUUGGUUAAAUUCAAUGAAAAACACGUAAAAGUUUUAAACAAGAUAAUUUCAUGCAAUAGUGUAAAAAUAAUUUUAGUAAAAAAUGACUCUUAUUAAAUUUACGAAAAUAAUUUGGAGACUCAGAUACAAAUUUGAAUGGCCCUUUUAUGAUAAAAGGAACGUCACAUUUGACCCCUUCGAAUAUCACGUUCCUGAAAUUCGGUGUUGCCAACAGACCUUAACAUGAGGAAAAAUUCAAACGAACAUAGUUACCAGCUUCUGAACAGUCGACCCUCUGCUUUCCAUUCACAGCUCAGUCAAUGAUUCAAAACCCUACCUUAGCACUCUUUUGGAUUUUCACUAAGGUUGCCCCCGUCCAUUUAUUUUCUUUCUUUUACUUUUGCUUUUUGUUUUUUUUCUCUUUUCUUCUCUUUUUUUUUUCUUCUUUCUACUUUUUUUCUCUUUUUUUUAUUAACUUAAUUUUUUUUGUUUUUUGUUUAUUUUUUUUUUUGAAAAGGCUCUAUUUCGAAUUUUCACCUAAUGAACAAAUUUAGCGACGGCCUCUAUCAAUUCAAAAAUGUGUUUCAACAUUAAUGACAUCAAUGUAACAAUCCUUCCCUUAUAAAAUUGAUGAAUGUGGGUUGACAUCAUUUGCCAUUUGAUUAAACAAUUCUCAUUACAAAUACUGUUAAAGCGGAGGUUGGGACUUUAUGAUUUUUGUAACGAGAUCAGGUGUGGUGUUAAGAAAUGUUAAGACUCUAAAGCAAUUUUUUAAAGGGGUUUCAAAAGUUUUAAGAUCACAUCCUAUAAAAUCUUACUCCAAUAUAAGGCUAUUGAAAUCAUAAAAUUGCCCCAGUUUGGCUUUUAACUUUUCUUUUUAAUUAUAUAUAUUUUUUUUAAUUUUUUUAUAACAAACGAAAGAUAAGUUUUGCCCCAAUGUGGGGUUUGUGAUCCUUAGGAGGCUAUCAAACGAAGGAAUAGAUUAUUCUGGAGGCUCAAAGGGGAGAACAAGGGAUUAAAUAUUCAAAGGAAAAAGAAAUAAGCCCACCUUUUAGUUCACCCUAGACCGUAUUUCAAAAAGAAAACUCACAUAAUCAGAUAAAAAAACUUCUUGCACAUAAUUGAAUUGAUUGGUUGAAGAAAAAUCUGUCCGCCCAUCUCUGUGAGAAUGAGUGUUCCUCCGGGCAAUACCUUCUUAACAAUGAAAGGUCUUUGCCAAUUUGGGAUAAAUUUUCCUUUAGUUUCGUCUUGGAUGGGAAGAAUUCGUUUCAAAAUUUUGUCUCCUUCUUAAAAUAUGCGAGGUUUGACCCUUUUAUUAUAAGUACGGGCCAUUCGCCUUUGAUAAUACUGCCCAUGGAAAAUAGCAUUUAACCGCCUUUCAUCAAUCAAGGAUAGUUGCUCGUGCCACUGUUUAAUCCAUUCAGUUUCCUCCAACUGAGUUUCCAUUAAAAUGCGCAAAAAGGGAUCUCAACCUGCCGCGGGUAAUUCUGCUUCCAUACCGUACAUGAGAGAAUAAGGCGUUGCCCCAAUAGAAGUUCUAAUUACAGUUCGAUAAGCCAUUAAUGCAUAUGGCAGUUUCUCAUGUCAAUCUCGGUGUCUUUCCUUCAUUUUGUGAAUGAUUUUCUUCAGAUUUUUGUUUGCAACUACUACCGCUCCAUUCAUCUGAGGCAUGUAGAUAGUCGAAUUCCGGUGCUUGAUCUUGAAUUGUUCGCAUAAUUCAUCUAUCAUGUCAUUAUUGAUAUUUUUGUCGGUGAUCAGCAUCUCUAGCACCCAAAAACUACAGAUAAUGUGGUCUUUCAAAAAAUCAGAUACUACUUUCUUGAUCACGUUCUUGUAAGACGCUGUUUCAACUCAUUUCGUAAAAUACUCGAUCAUCACAGGAAAAAUCGAUGCCCAUUCGAAGCUGGGGGAUCAAUAGCUCCAAUCACGUCCAUUCCCCAUAUUGAACAGGGUCAAGGAGCAGUCAUACUAUGUAGUUUUGUAGAAAAAGAAUGUAUAAUAUCGGCAUGCAUUUGAUACUUUAUGCAUUUUCUAACAAAAUCUACACAUCAUGCUCCAUGAUAAGUAAAAAAUACCCCGUUCUCAUGAUCUUCUUAACAGUAAGUGCCCAUUCAUAUGGAGUCCGCAUACACCGCUGUGCACUUCUUUCAUCAUAUAAUCAGGUUUCUCUCUAUCGAUGCACCUUAGAAGGCCCAAAGCUGAUGUCUUCUCAUAUAACACCUCUUCGUUCAGGAAGAAUUUUGACGACAUUCUGCGCAAGAAACUCUUGGCAGCUGCAGCAGCACUCGGAGGGUAAGACCCUAUUUUUAUGAAUUCCUUAAUAUCGUUAUACCAUGGACGAUCGUCAGAUGUCUCUCUCACAACUAGACAAUGUGCCGAUUUAUCUUGAAAUUGAAUCUAAAUAGGUUUGAUUACUAACGCGUUCGGGUGUCAAAUCAUAGAAGACAAUGUGGCCAGAGUAUCAGCAAAAACAUUGCAAGUGCGACAGAUAUGUCUGAACUUUAAACUUCUGAAUUGAUUGGUCAAACUGAGCAGACUACAAUGACACAGCAUGAUUUUCGAGUCUCGCGUCAUCCACUAAUUAAGCGUUUAAUGUACCAAUAAAUCUGAAUCGCUGAACAUGAUUAAAUCCUUUAUCUCCAUUUCUAAUGCCAUUUUUAGUCCAAAAAUACAAGUUUCGUACUCAGCCAUGUUGUUAGUACAAGAAAAUUGUAAUUUAGUAGCGGCGGGGUAAUGGUUUCCCUCAGGUGACACUAGAACAGCUCUGAUUCUGACCCUAAAAGAAUUUGAAGCGCCAUCAAAGAAUAGCCUUCACCUAGAAUAUGGUUCGUUUAUAUCUUCCAACGUGCCAAUGAAUAAAAUUUCCUUAUCAAAAAAAUAGGUAUGCAAUGACUGGUAAUCAUCUUCUCUCGGAUUCUCGGCCAAAUGAUCUGCUAUGACUUGACUCUUGAUUGCCUUUUGCGUAGUGAAAAUGAUAUCGAAUUCUGAGAGAAUCAUCUGUCAUUUCGCCAUACGGCCUGUCAGCAUCGGAUUUUCCAACAAAUAUUUCAGAGGAUCGGAGCGACAAAUGAGACAGGUUGUGUGACUGAGUAAGUAAUGCCUCAACUUUUGAGCGGGCCAAGCUAAAGCGCAGCAACUCCUCUCAAGAAAGGAAUAGUUGACCUCGUACGCGGUGAACUUCUUAUUGAGAUAAUAAAUAACUUGCUCCUUCUUUUUUGAGUCAUCAUGUUGUCCCCUUACAUAUCUCAUAAUCUCAUCCAACACGGACAGAUACAUGAUCAAAGGUGGACUUGGGUUGGGUGGCACUAAGACCGUAGGGUUCAACAGAUAAUCCUUGAUCUUGUCGAAAGCUUGUUGACAUUUUUCGUUCCAGCGCAUCGGCGUAUUCUUCUUCAAUAAUUUGAACAAAACUCACAUGUAAAUAUUAAUUGUGCAAUAAAUCUGUCGAUAAAAUUAAUCUUUCCCAAGAAACACUUUACGUCCUUAUGAAUUUUUGGUAUAGGCAUCCCUCGAAUUGCUUUAAUUUUCGUCGAAUCAAUUUCAAUUCCCUUUUUACUGAUAAUAAACCCCAAUAAUUUUACCGACGGGAGCCCCAAAAGUACACUUGGCAGGGUUCAGCUUUAAAUUGUAUCUUCUCAACCUUUCGAACAAUUUCUUCAAAGCAACCAAAUGAUCUUCAAAUUUCUUGAAUUUAAUGAUAAUGUCCUGCACAUAGAAUUCCAUCUCUUUAUGAAUUAUAUCGUUGAACAAAGUGGUCAUUGUCCGUUGAUAAGUGGUUCCUACAUUUUUCAAUCUGAAAGGCAUUACCCGAUAGCAGAAGGUUUCCCACGGAGUGAUGAAAGCAAUGUUCUCUCUAUCUUUUUUCACCAUCAGGAUCUGGUGAUACCCGACAAAACAGUCACCAAAAGAUUCAAUUUCAUGUCCAGCAGUGUUGUCCAGAAGAAUAUGAAUGUUCAGCAGCAAAAAAUUAUCCUUCCGACUACCUUUGUUGAGAUCCCUAUAAUUGACACACACCCGCACUUCUCCACUUUUCUUCAAAAUCAAUAUAGGAUUUGAAAGUCAAAUGGGGUAAUGAGAUACCAUAAUAAUCCUGACGUUGAGCUGCUUCUCGAUCUGUUUCUUGAUUAUGAAACUUAUAUUUGACCAAAAUUUGCUUGAUUUUUACUUUACUGGCGAAAAUUUUGGAUCGAUCGGCAAUCUGUGAACCACUAUAUCUGUUGAAAUCCCGGACAUAUUAUCAUACGACCAAGCAAAUACAUUUUAGAAGAUGGUUAAAAAUUCAAUCAUCUUUUUUUUCUACUCCUUAUUCAAGUGCACACUGAUUUUGAUUUUUUUAACCUCCAUUUUAGUGCCAAUGUUAAUGUUUUCUGUCUCUUCUAAGUUCGAUUUGGGUUUUUUAAUCCAUAUUGUUCAAGAAUUUUUGAAAUAGACUCAAAUUCUUCCUCGCUAUCACUCUUUUUUUGAAUUUUGAAUUUCAUAAUUUCAAAUUCGUGAGAGAUAUCGAGUUUGCAAUAAUUGAAUUUUAGAAUGGUAAUAUCCAAAAGGACAAACGAUUUUAUUUUUGGCUAUCUGAAAAUAGAGUAAACAUCACAAUAAACAAGUAGAAAAUAAUAAAGAUGAACAAAAAUUUUUUAUUUCAUUAAAUUUAAAAAACAAACAGAGAUUGAAAUAAAGAUGAGUACUUUGCAAACUAAAACAAACACAUUCCCAACAGAACUGCGCAGUGGGAACGGUCUUUCAUGACACUAAAAGGAAACAAGUAACUAAAAAUAAAGUAACUUUUUGUCAUGGAUUUCGGCCAGGGACAAUCCCCUAAAUUUAUCAAAAUUUUCUUGGAGAGAGAAGGUAAUCUGCAGUUCAAUUUUACACAGCUCCUUCAGGAAUGGUUGGGAAUUCCAUUUCUUUCAAUGGCUUGUCCUCGCAGGUGACUCUGAAGAACAGUUGAGAUAGGCUCAUUUCAAUCUCUUCAAUCGGAUCCUCUUUAUCCAAUUCUGAUAGGAUCAUCCUAGAUGGUCGAGAAAAGGUGUAGCGCAACGGCGGGAUACUAAUAGCAAUCUGCUUUCUUUCUUUUUUCACCUUCUUACGAGCUUGCAUCUUCUUCUUGUCCUUAACGGUCGGUUACAAUCCCAAUCCAAAUGUAUCUUUCUUCCCCAAAAGCUCUAUAGGCUUCAAAAUGCCUUAUAAAUUUUGCUCCAAACCUUUGCCUAUUUCAUACCCCCUCGAAUAAUUUCCUUAGCCAUCAUGAUACUAGCUUCAGAUACAUCUAUUCAUUCUUUAAAAAUCUAUCCAACUAACACGAUAUCGACCACACGAUGAGAUGAAUUGAGAAUUUUUCUACUAUUUUCUCAACUCGAACCAGAAUUGACGAUCAUGGUGCAGUCAUCCUUAGUGAACACGGUGAUAAGUUGAUCAUUGACAAUGAAUUUCACCUUUUGAUAGAGAGAAGAUGGAAUGGCGCUAGAAGUGUGGAUCCAAGAUCGUCCAAGUAAGACGUUGUACACACUUGAAAAGUUCAUGAUUUGCCAAACUAGUUGAAAUUGGGUGGGCCCUAUCUCCUGUACUAAAUCAAAUUCGCCCAUUGAUUCCCUUCUAACUCCGUCAAAUCCUCUUAUUAUCGUGGCAGAUGGUCACAACCUAGCAUCCAAACGUCCAAGUUUCAUAAGAGUAUUUCCUUGGUAGAUGUUUAGAGCGGACCCAUUGUCUAUCAAAACUCUCGGCAACAACUUUCCAUUACAUCUCACUGAGAUAUAUAAUACCUUAUUAUGUCUGAUCCCUUCAGGAGUCAAAUCCUCUUCAGAAAAGGUUAUGUGAUUAGCAGCCAAAACAUUUUCCACAACAUGAGUAAACUUGUCAAUUGAAAUAUUCUUCGGUAUUCGAUCCUCACUCAAAACCUUGAGUAGCGCCUCUCUACGCAACUCGGAGGUUAAAAGUAAGUCUAGAAUAGAAAUUUGGGCGGACAUCUUGUCCAACUGCUCCAUAACCUUGACUCGCUCCUUUUCAGCAAUUUAAGAAAAUCCAAAGUUUUCUUUUCAGUCACAGACGGCUUUGAUGGCAUAAGAUUUUCCUCCACAAUCUUCCCAAGUUUAGUGACACUAACCCCCUCCUCUGCCGACAUGCUCAAUCAAUAAAGUAGAUUCACUAUAAUCUCAUGGUACUUCUUUUAAAUUAUGCACAGGUGAUUGCUCAGGAAAUUCAAACAUCACAGGUUCUGACAAAUCUAAGAUGAAGUGAUCGGUUUCCAAAAGCUUUCCUUCUAGUAUGAAAGGUUUCUCGACUAUUCCAAUCACUUUAUUUUCAUCCACAAUAUACCGACUAGGUUCCUUAAACUUCUCAUCGGAGGUAAUAACCCCUACAGUUCCUUUAUAUUCAGGAAGAGGGUUCUUGCCGACGUUUGGCCCUGAUUCACCCCUUCUCCUCAAGACUAUGUCUCCGGUUUCGAUCAUGUUUUGAAUCUUAUGCUCUAAUGCCCAACAAUUGGUGGUGGAGUGACCAGAACGUUCAGAGUGAUACGAACAAAUGACUUGAGGAUCAUAAUUAGCAGGAACACUACUAGGGUAGGUUUUAGGGGACGCCACGUUAAUCUUGCCAGUGGUUUUAAGUUACUCAUACAAUUGAUCGAGUGGACGGUCCAAGAUGGUGAAGGUGUGAGAUUGAUUUUGAUUUUGGAUUUCAUUGGUUUGAGAAUAGUUAUAUGUUUGAUUGUUUGACGGAACAAGUCUUGAAUUAAAAGGGGGUCGAGGUCGAAUUUGCAAAUUUGGUUAAGAAAUCUGAAAAAGUGGUGAAGGUUUAUUUGUAUAGUUUGGUCAAGGUCGAGGAUGGUUAAUGGUAGUGUGGUAAACAGGUCGAGGGUUUAAGUAGUAUGGAUAGAGUAAUGAGUAAGUGGGGCGAUUUUGAAAUCUGGAUCUAGUCGAAGGGCCUUAAUCCCAAACGAAGGCAGUCUCUCCUUCCUUCUUCUUAAAUUGGGGUUUCUUACCACUAUUAUUCUGACCUUGCAGGGCUCCCAGUUGCAUUUUCAAUGUCGACACGUUAACUAUUUUUUCUGCUUUGAUGAACUCAUCAAAUUCUUUCAACUUGUUAACAAUAUCCGCAAAUGAGCAUCCAGUUAUAUGAAAAAUCUCCUCAAAGUACAGUAGAUCAUGAGUUUUAAUAAAUAUGCGGAUAAUUUCCUCCUCGGUCAUGGGGGGUUCCACCUUAGAGACAAGUUUUCUCCAACGUUUAGCAUAUGUUUUAUGGUCUUCCAAUGGCUUUCUCUUGGUUCCCUCAAGUGUGGUUCUUGUUGGCACAAACUCACAAUUGUAUUCAUAUUAUCUCACGAAAGCUGUAGACAGGUCCAACCAAGUUCUCAUCUCUUCUAACUUCAAAUUAAAAUAUCAAUCCAGAGGAGCAUCACCCUCCAAGCUUUUAAGGAACAGACGCAUCGGUAGGUUCUCAUCAUCUACUGGCUUUUCUAACUUGUUUGGGAACAUUCGGAGAUGCGUUUUUGGAUUUUCGAUGUCAUCAUACUUGCUAAAUUUAGGAGUUUUGAAACCCAUAGGCAACUACAUAUCCGAAAAAAGAUAGAGUUCAUCGUAGUCUAAGUCUCUAUGCUUGUUCAAUCCUUGGCUCUUUUUCAUGAAUUCAUCAAAGCGGUCCUACCUCUUCAGUAGAUUCUUAUCAAUUGAAGCAGAGGGCUCGUCUAUUUCUACUUUCACUUGAAAGGCGGUGUCCAACAUCAAUGGCUUUGUGGUAGGGUGAUGGGAUUCUUGAGGGUUAGAGGGGAUAUUCAGGUUGAUUUGUGGAUAAUUUUGGAGAAUUUGGUGGCUAAUCGGGUUGACGAAAAUAUUAUUUGCGUAUAUAUGUGGUAAAUUGGGGAUGGGAUAAGUAAAAGCAUUUUCAGAUAGACUUGUAAAAGGCAAAACAAAAGUGGUUUGAUUAUGUGACAUGUGAGGUGGUGGAUUUUCUAACUUAUAUUGGUUAUCGUCAACAGGUACAUUAUUGUUUUGGACACCGCUAGUGUUGUUCGAGAUCAGUUGGUCAAUCAUGUCCUUUUAUAAUGUCAUUUUUGCACUUAACUCGUUGAAUUUGUUUAGCAUCUCACUUAAUUGGGUCCCCAGAUUUGCAGCGUCUGACGAUGGAAUCAUUACAGAUAUCUUCGAUGGUUCAGGAUGGGAACUCAUGUUUUCACGAUUUCUCAAGAUUCGGCUGCGGGAUCGCGUAAUGAUGGAACUUCUACGGGUAGCUAUUUUUAAAAGUAUCUGAUGAUAAAAAAAGAAAUUGGCUCAGUUGUGCGCUUUCUAUCAAAUUUCUGUAAUUUAUUCAAAAGAUAAAAGAAAAAGAAAUGAGUUAGUAGAUAUUUGAAUAAUUUCGAUGCAUGACCUAUGAGGGAACUCUUUUUACGCCAAGAGUCGGUCUAACCUGAUGCAAUUCUUUCGGGAUAAAAUCUCAAUUUCAAACUUGUAAGUGAAUGUAGAAAUCAAAGUAGAAAUUCUCAUUAAACACUGAUAAGUUCAAUCAUUUUUUACAAUUUCAUUAAUAGUUUGGCUAAUCAUUUUUACAAAAUUCUCAUACCUCGCUAAAGUACUACGUUGAGACUCUCUAGAACUUACUAUACUAAACUUCCGAAUUCCUUCUUGAAUUUUAUCAAAUGCAUCCAAUGCUCUCUCCAACUUUUUAAUUUUUCUUGUCUCUCUCUUUAAUUGUGAUUGGGCGUCUUCCAAGGCAUGGCCAGCCACUAAAAGCUGUAAUUGGUAAUUCUUGACCUCUUUUUUUAACUUCUCUAUAUGCUCUUCAAGACGGGCAAGAGUAGACUAUGAUCUCUCUCUUCCUUGUUCUACUAUAAGUUUGAUCCAUUCAUCAUAUUUCGAAAUGACUUUAGGUUCCAAUUUGUUCACUUAAUCCAAGUGCAGGUUCUCUAAACUAUGAAGAUUCCCCCAAGCUUCUAGUACCAUGUUUCGACUCUCAACAACUGUGUUGAAUCUGAUAUUUCCAAUUCCUUGUAUCAUUAAAACUAUUUGUGGAUACCCAAAUUGCCUCAUGACUCAUUGCGGAACAUAUGCGACCAAUCCGUUGGUGCUUGCUAGAGGAAUAAAAUUGUGUUGGGUAGUUUUGAAAGUCGGAUUCCUAACUUUCGUCCAAUCUAGAACCCGUUAUAUUUUGUUCAGUGUCAAGCUGUCAAACUCUUAAACGAACUGACUUGGAGAUGCUAUUUGGUAAUAUCUUUUGACCCCUUUUCGAUGUGAUUCGAUCCAAUUCUCUGUUGGGAGACAAGAUCCCAGGGGAUUGAGCAUCCUCUUCACUAGAUGUUCCAUUGCCCAUAUUUCAAGUAUCAAAUUUAAUGCACAGAAAAACCAAAAGAAAUUUGGUGUCAAAAGAUGUCGGCAAUGAUGGUACCAAAGAGAAUCUGAAUGGGAGUCAAAAAGAAAAACAUUUGGUGUCACGUUCAGAAGACUAGGUAAAUGCCCCACAUACUUAAAUAAUUUUUUCGCCUCGUGCGACAUAUUAUUUUUUCAAUCAGUUAGUUCUCGAGGUAUCUGAUUCAGCACUCUACAAGGAGCCAUCUAAGCAGAAAUUCACUUUUAAUACCUUAUCUCAAGAUUUUACCCCUUAGAAAAUAUAAAAUUAUAAACAUGCAAAUUUCAUUGGAUUAAAUAUUCGAGACACAAGGUGGCUUAUUCCUAACAUGGGAUCCCGGCAUUCUCUCUAUGGUUGAUGCAUGAUGACAGUUUAUUAAAACGUGUAAAUAUAUACAAUACGAUAAUUGGAAAACGACCUCAAAGUGCCCCAUUUAAAUGUCGGGAUAAGUCUAAAAUGAUGUACAAUAUAUAUACGUAUUAUUAAUGUAAUAACUAAAAUUUAAACGUGUUUUUUAUAAAAGGUGAUUUUUCCUAAACGAGUACCAUGCCAGAAUUCUUACUUUCUAAGAUUUGUGAAUGCAAGAAAAGAGAAAACAAAGAGAUAUUAGUUCAAUUAAUAAAUAACACAUAGCACAUUGGAGUACUAAAAUGAUACAAAAAUAUAAAAGAAGAGAACAUGGGUAGAAUCCCUCCCCUCGUGUCUAGUAUGCCUAAUAGAGUAAAGUUGACUCUAUCCUAGGCGAUUUCUAAUAUGGAUAGAUGAAGUUGGGCUCACUAAUGCAUCUAAACUCGAUAAGAUUUCAAGUUCCCAAAUCUUCAGACCAAGAGGCGAAAGGUCAGCAAUCCCAAAAUCUUCAGUCGGUGGAUUGAGUGAUCCCUUAGGCAUCGCUAUAGGCGCAGAGCACACCAUCCGCCUACCUAAGUAAUCGAUUCUAAUCAUACAAGAAAAUGUGGGAUGGUGCCCACGAGAAAAAUAAAAAUAGGACAAAAGUAAUGCAUGCACGUAUGAAAUGCUUCCUUCGAGGGAAUGGAUUAAAUACCAUUAAAUAUGGGUAAAAGCUCUAGGGUAGCUAUACCCCCCCCCCCAAGAUAUAAAGUGCGAUACAAAUAUAUAAACAUAAAUAAAUGAAAGUAAAUAAAUAAAUUAUUCAUCAUAUACACGGAUAUCGAGAGACGAUUACGUGUGCGAAAUGAAAAAAAUCCUAAAAAGAAGGAAAAAAUAAAAGGAAAAGAAAAAUGCAACCUAAACAUCCCACUAUGAUAUGUAAAAAUGUUAGAAAAAGAAAAGACUAGACUAAAUCAAGUGUUUGGACUCUCUAAAAAUUUCCAGUGGUGUCACCAGCUGUCGCGUCCUAUUUUUAAAAAAAUAAAUUAAUGAUUAAAAAAAUAAACUUUUUAUUUUAAAGAAUAUUGGCGCAUAAAAAUGUAAUUUUUAUUAAAAGAUGAGUAAAAAAAUGAGUUUUAGUUCUUGAUUAGUUUUUAUUUUAGUUUUUAAUUUAGCAAAAAUAAAAAGAAAGAAAAAGGGCCUAAAAUGGGAUUUAAAAAAAUGCGACAGUUUUGGCCCAAAAUAAUAGUCUAAAAAGGAUUUUUAAGAAAAAUAGGAGUCGCCACUUGAUAUUGAGUUAAGGUGUACCAAAUCACCUAAAAUAUGUUUUUAAGAUAAAAGAUAAAAAUAAAAACCCUUUUUAGACUACUCCAAGUUUUUGAAAACAAGAGAAAAGAGUUCGAGAGUCACGCUUGAAGAAAAGGAAUGCAAAGAUUUGAUAGAAUCAAAUCUAAGAAACCCUGUCAAUCUAACCAAUGUUAGUUGCGAGAUUUAGUCAAAAAUUUUCGUAAUCUUACCUAUGAAAACUUUUCUAUAUAAAUGCAAACCUAGACCUGGGGGCUAUCGAGAGGGUCGAGAUGUUUCUUCAAAAUUUAAAUGGUGCAAUCACAUUAAUUGUGAUGUCCAAAAUGAUUUUUAGAAGAAGUUACAAAUAUACAAAAGAUGAGACUCGAAGAAAAGGAAAAUUAUAAUAUAUAAAUAUACAUGACCUAAAAUAGAGGAAUGCAACAUAACAUGUACGAGAGAUCUGAAUUCGUGACUCAAUUUUCAUUUCUAUAAAGGAGAUAUGAAUGUGCUAAGACUGAGAAACUAUGUUCGUCCAUUUUCUAUAUUUGAAGAGUGCCUCUCCUAACCUAGUCAAGCAAAUGAACUAACAUAUUUCUAGUUUUCUAAAUGGAAUGCAAGUCUAAAUGUCACGUUUAGCGCACAUAGGGGUAAGGAAGUUAAGGAAAUAUCAUGUCAAACGAAGAAAAGGAUUCUAAAGGUGAAAAGUAUGCAUGAAAUACAAUAAAUGUCAAACAAAUUAUGAAUUCUAACGUGAAACCGGCCUAAAGGGUCUAUCAUUGAACUAUCCUAUUUCUGUAAGUUCUCAUUAGCGUUGGACUAGUGAGAAAUCGGGGAAAAAAAUUCACAACUAACAUUGGAUCAGUGUGGUGACGUCAUGUAUUUAUUAUAACUAAAUAAAUCAUAUAAAACAUAAUUAAAACAAGUAAAUACAUAAUGCACAUAGAACACAUAACACAUAGGUAUAAUUUCUAGAUGCAAAAGUCUAGUGAAAGCGAAUAAACACUCAAACACACAAGCAUGUAAGCACACAAGCAAAUAAACACAAAUAAAAGCCUAACUAUUUGGGGUCCUAACUACAAUCUAAGGGGGAAAUUUUUUUAAAAAAAUAACAUAACUAUUACAUUUAUCUAACUAAAUACAUUUUUGGCAAAAAUUAAAAUCUAUCUAUUACAUAUCCUAACUAAAUACAUGUCUUGAGUAUCUAUUUAUUACAAAUUGGCAUUUAAAUGCCCUCAAAUAAUCACCAAAAAUUAAAUAUAAUAAAUGAAAAUUUAAGAUGAAUAAAAUAAAUAAAAGAAAAGAAAAGAAAAGGCACUCAAAACAUGCAAUCACAUAUAAAAAGCACAUACGAGCACAUAAAGGGAUUUAAAAUAAUACUAGAAGGUACUUCCCUUUGAAAUAGUGGUUAAAUGAGGUUGGAUUUGCCCUAUUUAUACUCCAAGAUCAACAAAAUGGUCAAGCCACCAAUUUAAUUAACAAAUAAAUUAUAAAGCAAUGGAAAUAACCAUGAAAUCUUCCAAUUAAAGCAUUUAAAUGAACUAUAAUUAACAAUUAAAGAAGAUAAACAACUUAUAUUUAAGAAAUUAAAACUGUCAGGGAUCUAAUUGUAAAAAUGAGAAAGUUUUUGGGAUCAAAUUAUAAUUAUUACAAAAUUAGGGUCAAAUAAAAAAAAUAAAGUUCAUGGACCAAAUUGCAAUUAAAUUAGGGACCUAAUUGAAAGAAAUCAAAAGUUUUUAGAGCCACAGUACAAUUACUUUGAAGUAAAGGGACCAAGUUGCAAUUUUCAUUUUCUAGUUUGGCCAGAAAAAGGCCUUGGGCUAUCCUUCAAAUUUUUCGUUAGGCCAAAGUUACCUAGACCCAGCAAAAAGUCCAGAAAAAUGGGUGGACUAGCCUGUCAUUUUUACUAAACUAAGCUUGGUGAAAAAAGGUUGGACUUGAACCCCAAGCCCGGUCACAAACCCAAGCAUAAAAGAAAAUCUUCCCCCAUAUUUUUAACCAAGAACAUGUUUUAUCAACCCAUCAUGGCCCAGAUCGGAUCAAAUCAAAUAAAAGAUCAAAUUGGGGGAAAAUAAAAAGAAAAUAAGUGAAGAACAUUCUGGCGGGUUGACCCGCUUGGAUGACCAGUCGGAAUCUGGAAAAAUUCCGGCCAUCUUGGCCGGAAAUUCGCCGGAAUCCAUUUUCACCGGCUUUUAAUACCGGAUCUUGACAUAAACAUACUUCCCAUGAUCUCUUGAGUUAGUUAAAAUAUCAUACAUCACCAUUUAAACAACAAAAUCUUAAGAAAAAAGAGAUCUAAGAUGCAAAACCCAUAAACUCAUGUAAUAACUUAAAAACACAUGGAAAAUGUUAGAACAACCAAGAAAAAGGGUUAUAAUUACCUGAGGAAGUUAGGGAACUUGAAUAGACGUGAGAAAUCACAGUGAAACGUGCCCAGAUUCCGAAAGUGAAGCAAAACACUUCUUGUCGCAGAAGUUUAAGAGCUGAGAAAUUGGCAACUUCAGGUUCGAAUAUGAAGGUUCUGGAAGUGUUUUUUCAAGAAACUUUCAACAUGAAAACUCCUCUACUACAUCCAUAGAGUAUCUAGAAAUCAAGAAUCGAUCUAAAAGAAGUCAAGAUGAAGAAGAAAAUGGCGUCUGAACAGGGCUGCCUGUUCAGCCCUAGCUCAAUUUUUUCUGAAAAUUUCCUGCUACUUUUUCUUCUUUUUCCUUCUCUGUUUUCUCUCUUUUCCUUCCUUUUCUGUUUUUCUGCCGCCUCCCACUCUUUUUUCUACCCUAAUGGCCGUAUUUCUAUGCAUUUAUAUGGAACAAAACCCCCCCCCAAAACCCUAUGAGCAUUGGUGGAGAUUGGUUGGCUUUUUGGGGAUGAUUUGGAGCCAUUAGAUGGCUGAUUUUGAAUAAGAAUUGGAAGAUGAUCUGGCCCUUGUACUGGGGGGCUUAGAAGGAAAGAAAACAAUGCAAAAAAAAAAAGAGUGGAAUAGGGAUCAAAUGGCCACUGCAAUUCUCUGGUACUAUGGCCUCGUUGCUGGUUUUGUACUAGUUUUCAUGAAGAAGGCACGUGCGUGAAGGAAUUUUAUUUUUUUUUACAAAAACUGAUUUUGAUUUUUGUUUUCUUUUCUUUUCUGCUUUUUCUUUCCAUCUUUUCUUUUCUUUUCUUUUCUUUCUAAUUUUCUAAAAAUAAAUUGAAAUGAUUUUCUUAAGAAAUAGAAAUGAAACAAAAUAAAUAAAAUAAAUAAAAUUUAAACAAAAUAAACUAAAAAUGAACAAAAAAUGAACAAAAAAAUAGGAAUAAAAUGAAGAAAAAUAAAAUGGUAACAUUUUUGUGUCUACACCAAUGAUGUUCUAGAAGUCAAAGACAAUUCUCACUCCAAAUUUGGACCACCUCCCACUCCAUCACUUCCAAUUCUAGCAAUAAUUUCAAUAAUAAUUUCUUUAUUCUUUCCUAUUUUAUAUGUAGCAAACUCACUUGGAGAAUCAUGGGUUUAAUCAAGACAACCCGGUGCGCUGCUUCAUGCUCUAAUUGAAGACAAAUCAGUGAUGAUAUUGCUUGUACAUUUCUCCAUUACUUGAUUAUCUAUUGUUCUCUACUUUCUAUACCUUAUCUUUCCUUUCCCCUUUCCUUGUCUUCGUGGCUGAAAAAGAAAAGAAUAAAGCAUGAGGGGAAGGAUGUCUGAUAACUUUGAGUCCUUUGUUGGUGCUUAUUAUGACGGCUUUGAAUUCAUGUGGCAAUAAUUGAGUUGGAUGCAAUAACUUUUUUGUUGUUUUCAUUCACUUGGAUCACCUUUUCUAAUCUUUCUGUUCAUGUUUUGUUUGGAUCACUUUUUGGAUGUAGUUUUGUUUUGCAGCAACUUUUUGUUGUUUUGUUUAUUUGAUCGAGUCGACUUCGAGUUACCUAGGAGGUUUUGGCUAAUAUAAUGCGUUAUGAAUUCAAAUCGGCCAAUAUCGACUGAAUCAAAGUGAGUCGUCAUGGAUAUAGAAUUAUCUACGAUUCGAGGAUCGAUAUCAUACCGGUCUCCUCUGUUCCGAUUAUGACUUGACCGUGUCAUAUCGGAAUCGACCGAUAUUGCUAACCAUGCCAUAGAGACGAAGUAAGAUUUAACAUCCUGGCACUAUAAACCACUAGUCAUGAAGUAUUAUAUGUAGUUUCAAACUAAAAAACUAUGCUGUCCUUGAUAAUUAGAAAACAAAGCCAUUAGCUUUUAUAAGGACAGGUAACUCGAGCAGAAGCACAUAGCAGAAGUAAGAGCUGAGUAAGUGAGCAAGGUUUACUGCAAUAGGAAGCAGCAAAUCACGUGCAUUGAUUAACUAAUCUAAUAUUACUUUUUUAGGUCUGACCUCAAGAAUUUGACGAAACAAUUCUUAACAAUCCUAAAAAGGCAAUUAACAAAGCAAAAAUAAAAUGAAAUAGGAACACAAAAUUUACGUGGCAAUCCCACAAAAUUGCUUUUGUUAGGUCUAAAGACAAAUAACAAGCAAAAAUAAAUGAAAUAGGAACAUAGAAUUUACGUCCACAAGUGGAGGAGGAGCACAAUUUCACUAUGAAGAAGAGAGUACAAAAACCUUAGGAAAGUGUUUCCGGGGUCAAAAGUAGCUACUAAAACACAAGAGAAUUCAAAAUAUUUUUACUACAAAAAGGUUUAAUAAUCCAAAGAGUCAAAUAGCCUACUAAAACUAUAUUGAUUUGGUGUGCUUAAUCUCAUCACAGGUCCACCCUAUUUAUAACCAACUAAGAGAAAGACUCUUUUGUACAAAAUCAAUGUGGAACAAAGCCAUUUAUAACAAAUUUUUACUUUGACGUGUCCCUAACAUCGAUAAAUAGUCUUCUUCAUAUAAGCUCUAAUGGAUCUAAAUCACGAACAACGAAUACUAACCAAAUCCAAGCAUCGAUUGAACUUAUAAACUAGAAGAAGUUCCGUGAAUUGUUAGUAGGAUUCUCCUCGAUAUUGAUUUUUUGAACAAGAACUUUUCCCUCAGCAACAGUAUCUCGAAUGAAGUGAAACUUUACAUCAAUGUGUUUCAUCCUCUCAUGAUAUAUCUAGUUUUUAGUCAAGUGAAUAGUACUUUAAUUAUCACAGUAAAUAGUAGUAACACCUCGAUAUAGACUAAACUUCCCAAAUAAACCCUUUAACCAUAAGGUUUCUUUGAUUAUUUUGGUCACAGUCAUAUAUUCUACCUCUAUAUUAGAUAAAGUUACAACAGGUUAUAAAGUAACUUUUCAACUAACUACAGAACUGCCAAUGCAAAAUAUAUAAUUUGAAAGUGAUCUUCUUCUGUCAAGAUUCUUGACAUAGUCAGAGUCCAUAAAAUCAACCAAAUUGUCACUAUUUCUCCCAAGUUUUAAACAAUUAUUUGAAAUCCUUCACAAAUAUCUGAAAAUCCACUUCACAGCCUGUCAAUGUACUUUUUCAAAAUAAGACAUAUAUCUGAUAAUAAUAUUGACUGCUUGUGCGAUAUUUGGACGAAUACAAACCAUUGCAUAUAUUAUAUUGUCAAUUACUCUAGAAUAAGGAACUCCUACCAUAUAAUCUUCUUCUUAGCUAACUGUGGUGACUGAACAGCUAAUAGUCGAAAAUGACAAACAAGAGGAGUAGUCACAGGUUUAGCAUUUUUCAUGCCAAAUUUCUCCAAGAUUUUCUCAAGGUAAUUUUUCUUGGUAAAGAAUAAUUUUCCAACUUCUUAAUCUCGCUUGAUCUACAUAUCAAGAAUUUUCUUAGUUACUCCCAAAUAUUUCAUCUCAAAUCCACUAAUUAACUACAAUUUCAAAUUGUGAAUUUCUGAUAAAUUCUUGGCAGCAAUGAACAUUUCAUCAACAUAAAGUAACAAAUAAAUGAAAGAAUUAUUAUCUAACUUCCGAAAAUAAACACAACUAUCAUACAUGCUCCUCAAAUAAGCAUGACCCAACAUAAAAAAUCAAACCUCUUAUACUACUGUCAUUGAGGUUGUUUCUAUCCAAAUAAGAAUUUUUUUAACGAAAAACAUGAUCUUCCUUUCCUUCAAUUUCAAAUCUCUGAAAUUGCUUCAUAUAAAUUUGUUUUUCAAGUUCAUCAUGCAGGAAAUUUGUCUUAACAUCAAGCUGCUCUAACUCCAAAUCAUAAUGGCAAUUAAAGCAAGCAAAACACGAAUAGAGCUACGUUUAACAAUAAGUAGAAAUACAUCAUUAAAAUCAACACCUUGUACCUGACUAUACCCUUUGCAACCAACCAUGUUUUAUACCUUGUAUUUUCAACCCCCAGAAUAACCUUUUUUCUCCUUAAACACCUAUUUGUAUCCAACAAUUUUUUUUUAUCUAAAGGCAACUUCACAAGAACUUAAGUUCUAUUUUGGUAAAAAGAUUCAAUUUUUUCAUUCAUCGCAAUCAAUCACUUAGCAAAAUCAUCACAAGAAACUACUGUUGAAUAGGUUGUAGGUUCACUAACUCCAUCAAUUUCUUCUGCAAUAGACAAAGCGCAUGCAACCAAAUCUACAUAUUUUUGUGGUGGUCGAAUAUCCCUCCUUAGUCUAUGUUUGACAAUAUAAUAUUGCUUCUCUUUUGGAUUAUUUUCAUCAGUAGAUUCAAGUACAUUUACUGGCAUUUGCUGAAUAGAAGAGGUGGACUAAGAAAGACCAAAACUACCAAUUUCAAACUUCUCCCACUUCUACAUACUGUCAUCUGUAUGACAAGAACUAAAAGACUCCUUAGAAGAUAGCAUAAAGAAUUCAUCAAAAGUAACAUCUCUAUUGAUCAAAAUUUUUGAAAAUUUGGCAUCAAAACACCACAAUCUAUAACCUUUCACUUUAGAAGCAUACCCAUAGAAAAUACACUUUUUAACUCGAGACUCCAAUUUUUCAUCAUUUAUAUGCAUGUAUGCUAGAUACCCAAAAACUUUUAAAUUAGAGUAAUCAAUAGCAAUACCUGACCAAACUUUCUUAACAGUUUUAAAAUCAAGAGUUGCAGAAAGAGUACGGUUGAUAAUGUAACAAGCUAUAGAGAUUACCUCUGCCAAAAGUCCUUUUGUCAACCCAGUAUAGAGAUCAGACACCUCGCUCUCUUUAAAAGUAUUUUGUUCAUACGUUCAGCCACAUCAUUUUGUUGAGACGUCAUUUUGACAAUGUAGUGCCGAAUAAUUCCUUUAUUCUUGUAAAAUUCAUCAAAUUCACCUUCACAAAAUUUCAUGCCAUUAUUUGUUCUACACCGCUUGAUCUGUCUACCUGUCGAUUUUCAAUCAAAACUUUUGAUUGGUUAAAAGUUAGGCAUAUAUCAUUAUUAUGUUUAAGAAAAUAAACUAAAACUUUUCUUGAAUAAUUAUCAAUGAAAGUUAAUAUAUACGUGACAUCACCUUUAGACGAAACACGAGUUGGACCUCAUAGAUCUGAAUGAAUGUAAUCAACAGUACCUUUCGUCUUAUGAAUUAUUGGUGAACUAAAAUGGACUCUUUUCUGUUUCCCAAAAACAUAGUGCUCACAGAAUUUCAAUGGUCCAAUAUUCUCCCUGCAAAGAAGUUCCCUUUUACUUAGUAUACCUAAUCCUUCAUUGUUCAUAUGCCUCAAACACAUAUGUCAUAAUUUAGUGAUGUCAAAAUCAAAUUAAGAUGAUGACGAGACCGUAACCAAACUUGUAACAAUAGAUUCCUGCAAAACAUACAAACUACCAGGCCUACAAGUUUUUAUAACAACAAAAGCCCUUUAGAGACCUUCAUAGUGUCAUUUCAGCCGUGUAUUUGCACUCAAGAGCCUCCAAAGUGCCCAAAGAGAUGAGAUUCUUUUUCAAAUAAAAAAUAUGUCUAACAUUAGUGAGCAUCCUCACAAUAUAAUUAUGCAUUUUAAUUCAAAAUGUACCGUUAUCAAUAAUAUCAUAAAUGGAUUAUUGUCGAUCAAAACAAUUCCAUCAUUACAAGGUUCAUAAGUGAAAAAAAAUUCCCUAUUAGAACACAUGUAACAAGAAUAUCCCAAAAUCUAAAAUUGAUUCAUUUUUAGAUCUUGUCCUAUCAUUUGUCAUAAAAAAAUAUUUUUAUUACUCUCAUCAGUUGCAACACGAUUUUCAGCAGUUUCAAUAUUUUUGUCACCAUAUUUUUCCUUUUGCUUUAGUUUAAUUUUCAAUUUAAAGCAAUCAGCCUUAAUGUGCUGCAUUUUGUGAUAAUAAUUGCACUCCAAAUUUUUAUAUCUAAAUUUAGAUCUACGAUUGUCAAAUUUUCUUUUAUUAAUUGUGCCUCAAGUAACCAGUUCUUCCACCUAACCUCCAUUACUUUCUUCGAUGAUAUUAUUGUUUAUCUGCUAUUUAGAUCUUAUUGCAGAUUUAAUUUCCUGAUACACAAUUGUUUCUUUUUCAUAAAUCAUAGUAUCACGAAAAUAUUUAAAGGACUAGGGAAGGGGACACUAAAGUAACAUGACCUGAUCCUCAUUAUGCAUUUUCGAAUCUAUAUUCUUCAAAUCCAUAAUAAUGGUAUCAAAUUUAUUAAGAUGUGAGAGUAUAAAUGUGCCUUCAGUCAUCUGAAACAUAUACAGACUUUGUUUUAAACAAAGUCGAUUCUCAACUGUCUUUUUCAUAUACAAUACUUUAAACUUAUCCGAUAUAGCCUUAGCCGGAGUUUCAAUGGCUACCUCCCAUAAAAUCUUAUCAGAGAGAUUUAAAAUAAUACUGGAUCUAAUCUUAUUAUCCAUUUCAGAAAAUUUUGCAUCUAUCACAUUCUCUAGCUUUUUCUAAACCCUGUAUGUCACUAAAUCAACUUCUUCUUGAACCAAAAUUGACUCCAUCUUGAGCUGCUACAUCCUGAAGUUAACAUUUCUAUCGAAUUUAUUGAUAAUAGUUUUUGUUAUUGUCAUCGUUGCCAUAGAACCCAAAGUUUUUGAAGAAAUUCUGAUACCAAAUUAUUAGGUCUGAUUUCAUAAAAUUGAUGAAAGGAUUCUUGGCAAUCCCAAAAAGAUAAAUAAAAAAGUAAAAAUAAAUGAAAUAGGAACACAGAAUUUAAAUUAUUCAAUCAAAUUAACCUAUGUCCAUGGGCAAAGGAAGAGCAAAAUUUCACUAUGAAAAAUAGAGUACAAAAGUUUUAGGAAAGUGUUUUUAGACCCAAAAGCAUCUAAUCCUAAAACACAAAAGAAACCAAAAUAUUUUUACUACAAAAAGACUUAAUGACUCAAAGACCCAAAUAGGCUACUAAAACUCUCUUGAUUUGGUGCAUUUAAUCUCAUUACAGGCUGACUCUAUUAAUAGCCAACUAAGAGAAAAAUUCCUUUAUACAAAAAUCGAUGUUGAUCGAAGUCACAUAUAACAGCUUUUAACAUAGAAUAACGAAACCAGGUACAUAGAAAACAAGGAAAGGAAGAACUCUUAAUGCCCUUGACAAGAAUUUAAAUAUAAAAGAAUAAAAGUUUAAACAUAUAUGGUUCUUGCUCUGUACAUCCUCGAGUACACCUAGGAACUUACCUUCCAUACUUAAAAUCAAGCCUAAAUAAUGACCUCUCUAUUACACAUCAUCAUUAUUUGAAAAGAUAAAUCCAUAGCUUAAAACUACAACUGUCAACACAGAGGACUAUAACAUCUUACACCAACAAAUAAUGUCAGCACAAUUGACAUCAUAUUGACUAAAAUAAUAUAUAUUCAAUCUUCACAUGACAUAUAAACCAAAAUUUUGGAAGUUUCCAGUUGCAUAGUCUAAAUGACACUAGUGACCUAUAGUUUACUUGACAUAAGAAAUUUAUGGUCAUUGUAAGUAACAUUAAUCAUGGUCUUUCAAUUUGGGAUCCUUCCUAUGCUUAUUAGUAAGCACUUAAAAUCUUAGCAUGAAACUACUCAACUAUAGAAGCUAUUACAUCUCAAGAUGUCUCUUUCCAUCUUCUUGCAACAUUUGUACAUAUGCUGACAACCAAUAUUAAAUUCAUCCGGUUAAAAUCAUCUUAGCUGAACUCUACUUCAACAUAACUAAUUUUAACUUCGUCCUCUUAAGGGCUUCUAUGAACAUACAUUGACAUCAACAAAUCAGGAUUUCUAGUCUUCAUUUGUUUAAUCAAUGAACAUGCUGGGUUUCAUAACUUUGGUUGAAACGAGUAGCUAGAACUCAAGUUCGAACUCAGUCAAUGUUAAGUCGAGCUAAGCAUUUGACCCUCGGUUUGAUAGGACCGCUAUGUGCGAGUGUUUGAACCAACCCAACUGGGCUAAAUGAGGAGAAAUUCAUUUCUAGACCAAAUGUAUACACUGUUACAAUUCCUCUAGAUUUUAAAUUACUUGUGUUAAGGGUUUGAACCCCUAAUUGGUGACGAAUUUCUAAGAAUAUUACUAAAAUAAAAAACUAUCAUAAAAUUGGGGGUAUUCGGGAGGGGGUUCUUAUUUUAGGGUCGCCGCAAUUUAGGUACGCGGCUACCAAUAAAAUUAGAAUUAAUUUGCAUUUAUUUUUGGUUGCUGUAGUUUUGUAUAAUUUCUCCGGGUUUUUUUUUCCCAAACUUGAGCGGCGAAAGACUUGCCAACACCGACAAGGCUGACAACGACUUGACAGUACGGCAAGACUACAGCUAAUACGGACAAAUUAGGAGGCAUUCAGUUUUUUUUUAAUAGUUUAAAAAGCUGACGUCAUUUGCGUUAGCUUUUUGACUUUUCCUCAACGCCGCAAACGUCAAAAUUUUUUUAAAUUGACGCUGCAAAUUUGAUCAAAAUUUUUUAAAGUGAAAAGGCAAUUAUUGAUUGCCGCCAAAAUUAAUUUUUUUAACUGAAAAAAGAAUUUUUUUUAAAGUAAAACCGCAAAUCCUGAUUGCGGCGAUAGUUUUGACACCGUCAAUCCCACCUACCCAACGUAACCAACAGUUGUCAUUGACUCUCUUAUUAUUUCUUUAUAAAAAAAGGCAACGGCCAUGCACUAUUUUUUUAAAAAAAAACUAAUACAGCAAUUUGAAUUUUCGGCGUUAGUUUUUCCAUCAUCCAUCCCUCUAGAUUUACAAAUCAAAGUUCAGGAUUUAGUCAAAAAAAAUUUGUAGUUAAAGUAGCAGUACUACAAUUAUUUGUUAUAUUGCCAACAAUAACUAUUCGUGCCUCAUCUUCACGGACAAUCCCAACUAUUUUCUCUUCUCUAUAUAUUCACUUGAGAAAACCCACUUCCUUUACGACCUUUCUCUUUCUAGUGUGGUUCUCAUCUUCUUCUUCAUCUUCUCUACAUAUUUCUCCUAAAUUUUCGAGGGUAGCUGAUCGAUUAAGACGACUUGAAUCGAGGAAAGCAAUAUUACAAUUUGAGCGGUGGAUCGAAAAGAAAUUUUGUAAAGAAACGAUAUUAUCCUUGACAAGGUUAGUUUAUUUAAUAAUUUUGUUAAUAAUAAUUUUAUAAUAUUUGCAGUUAUGUUAAGUUCUAGAUAUUAUGCUGCUUUACAUUUAUUUAAUUUUUGAAUGAGUUGUUUAUUUAUGGUUUGCAGUAGUCUUUUAUUUAUGAUUUAUUUAUGGUUAGCAGUAGUCUUUUAGGCGAAUUAAUAAUGAAUACUAAUAGUAAGAUAUACUAUUAAAUGAUUAUUUGUUGACAUUAAUGGUUAGAUGAAUAAAAGGUGAUAGUUUUUAAGAUUUAAUAGUCACUGAUAGGCGAAUUAAUAUUUACAUUUAUUAAGAUUAUUUAAUAGUCAGAUGAUAAGGUUAGUCUUUUAUAGUUAUUGAAGAAGUUUUUUAAAAAUUAUUUGUUGAUGGAUUUUAGAAUUAAUUUUAUAGAGGCAGUAGUCUUUUAGGCGAAUGAUGAAUAAAAGAUAAAUAAUGGUACAUGGUAAAUAGUAAAUAGUAAAUAAUAAAUAGUAAAUAGUAAAUAGUGAGUGGUUAAAAUUAUAUAGUAAAAAUAACAAUAAUACAAUAUGAGAUAGUGAGAUAGUAACUAAUACAUUAAUAAUACCAGUACUAUUAAUCUAUAGUUUAGUAAUAUUAAUAUGAAUAAUAAAUAGUAAGUAAUACUAAUAGUUCUAAAAAUAUAAGUUACAAUAAUACAAUCAUAGUUUAAUAGUAAUUAUGAUUAAUUAAAGAAGAACCAUUACUCUAAUAGUUUGAAUAAUACUAUUUGUUUGAUAAAUCUAUUUUUAUUUAUUCAUUUGAUAUUGAUAAUUAUUUUAUUAGUGGUGCUACUACCAAUGAAAACGUUUAUUGCGUUAAUAUUAGUAAUUAUGAUAAGUUGUUAAAAGAAAUAAGUUGACAUAAAAAUAUUUGUAAGAUUAGGAAAAAAUAUCGAUGGACCUUGCAUUGGUGUUUCAAUUUUAUUGGGGAGGCAGAAUAAACGAGACCGGAGAAUCAUUCGCAUAUGAACCUCCACGGUGUAAAAAAGCCGUUUUAGUGAAACAUCGAAUAAGUUAUGAUGAAUUGGUGGAAAAAGUGUACACCUACAUGCAAUUAGAUCGGAAUGUUUGCAAGUUGAAUCUAUAGUUUAGAAAUGCUGUUGGCCAAGACAUAUUUGCUGGAGUGCAAUUGAAAUUUGAAGAUGAUAUUGACACGUUAUAUCAUAUGAAGUCAAUGUCACCACACACGACAUGUGAGAUAUAUGUAGAAUUAGAACUACGAACCCGUCAUAUUCACAGUGACCAUGAUGGCGGACAAACAUCAUUAGUCGAGAAUGAUUUUGAAAAGGAGUCAAACAGUAUGUUUCAUACUGAGGUAACUGAAAGUACAAGGAUGGUAAAUCGUUCUUUUGAUGAAUUGCCUCAAAUGGAAAUUUUCAAUCCGACAAUCCUAUCAAGCAUACCUGAGAGAGAAGGUGUUAAUGUUGAUCAAGACACGGAACCAGAACCCGAUGGUGAUGAUUCAGACAAUGAUGAGCAGGAUCAAAUCGAUGAAGAAUCUGGCAAUCUGCCGGUUCAAUUGGCUGCCGGUCCAUCGAUCUCAUAUCAUAUACCAGUCCAUCUAAAUGACCUUGAAGGUGUGGAAGCCUCACUGAAUUUUGAUACUUUUAAGAAGAUAGUUUCAGAGGAGUACAAUGUGUGGGAUGAGUGGACAAAGGAGCUUAGAUUGGGAAUGAUUUUUGAAACAAAGAACGACGUACAGCGAGCUGUCAAACUCUGGUCGAUCAAGCACAACAGGGAGUACAAAGUGUGAGAAAGUAAACCGACCACUUGGUAUGUCCGCUGCAAGUCCUAUAGUGUUUCGCUUCCAUGUAAUUGGUAGCUAAGAGCCACUCUAAGAUGCACACAUAACAUGUGAAAAAUUGUAACAUUUGUGAAAGAAUACAUGUGUAUGCGAGUUUCGAAUUCCAAUGACCACCGACAGUUAAGUUUGGAACUCAUAGCCGAGUACGUAAUACACCACGUCCAGAAUGGUCCACUGUAUGCCAUCAAAGAAAUACAAAUGAGCAUUAAACGUGCUUUUGAUAUGGAUGUUUCAUACAAAAAAGCAUGGUAUGCUAAGCAACGUGCGAUUGAUAUUGUGUAUGAUGAUUGGCCAACUUCUAUAGCUGCGCUCCUUAUGUACAUGCAGGAAUUGGUGAAAGCCAAUUUCGGAACAGUUGUCGAGUGGGAGCACCAUCCGCAAAGCAGUGCUAGAUGCAGAAUCUUUCAUUAUGUGUUUUGGACAUUUGGGCCGGUGAUCGACUCAUUUCGACACCUUAAACCAGUUAUUUGUAUUGACGGCAUAUUUAUGAAGGGCACAUACAAAGCAAAAUUAUUAGUUGUUGUUGGUUUUGAUGCUUCCAAUCAGCGGUGGCCGAUUGCAAUCGCACUUGUAGACGAGGAGAUAAAUCGGAGUUGGACAUGGUUCAUGUCACAUUUGCGACGUCAUGUGUGCCGUGAGGUGAAAAAUAUAUGCGUUAUUUCGAAUAGGUACAAGAGCAUAACACACGCUAUGAAUACUUUGCUGGAGUGGAAAGAAUCGAUGGCUGUGCACCGAUACUGUUUAGUACACGUGCAGAGCAACUUUGCCCAAAAAUUUUGAAAUCAAAGGUAUAUAUUUUUUAAUAUUAGAUUAGGAAUACAUAGUAUGAAUACCCACUAAAUAUAAGUUUAAUCGUUGGUCAAUUAUCAUUGUCCAAAUUGAAUGAUCUUAUGUGGGCUGCCGGAGCAGCAAAUCAAGCCAAAAAAUACGAAACAUUUAUGGAACAAAUAUAGGUGUUAAACGAAGAGGUGUAUAAAUGGUUGAAUGGCAGUUCGGUCAAACCGGAACAAUGGACAUUAUGCAAGGAUAGGGAAUAUCGGUGGGGCUACAUAUCGAAGAACAUAGCUGAGUGCUUCAACAAUGUAUUGCACAAUGCUCGAUUAUUACUAAUAACAGCAUGCGUACAGUUCACUUUUAAUCAAGCCGUUGAGCUCUUUACGUCGAAGCGAAAAUUGGCUUUCAACACGACGUAUGUUUUUUCUAAAGAAAUAUGGAAGCCAUUCUUAAAAAAUGAAUUAAAGGCAAGGACACACUCAAUCCAAGUAUAUGACCAUAGAGGCGGAAUAUAUUGCGUUACUACUGGUUGACGCGAUAAUGGAAAGGGUGGCAAUGUGCAAAUUGUCAAGUUCGGGAAUAACACAUGUACGUGUGGCAAGUGGGCUGAACUUAGAUUCCCAUGGUCACACGUAUUUGCAGCUUGUUAUAGGUCGGGUACAAAUCUGUACCAUCUGGUAGGUCACGUGCACACAUUUUCAUCCUGGCAAUCUUCACUUCAAGGACAGUUUCAAUUUUUGUCGGAUUCGGCUUAUUGGAUCCCUUCGGAGUUGUGACUUAACUGUGAUGUAGGAAGAAUUAAACAAAAGAGACCCGACCCUAAAGCCAUUGCUAGAAUACAUAACCAAAUAGAUCGUCGAUGUUCCGAUGCGUCUCAUCAUUAUAGUCACUGUUCACAGACAAGCCACAAAGCCUCCAAUUGCCCUUAUUCUAGUCAUUUUCAUGUGUAAAAGCAUGAACGGGAUGAAAAAUUAGCUAAAGGUUGUGUAGUCAUUGAUUGUGUGUUAUGUUAGUUAUUUGGUCGAUUUUUUGACUGUAUGUCUAUUGCUGACGUACAAUUUAAUAAAAUUGGGACUGUAUGUAUGCUAUUAAUAAAUAUUUGAUUGUGGAGAUUAUCCUAAACAUGUCACAUUGGCCUAGACAGACUCCAAAUCCUAUACAGGGUUCACACGAAGAUGGCGUAUUAUAUUUGCAGGAUACACAUCGAUCGAAAAUCGUGUUUUUAGGGCAAGAGAGUCAGCUCGAUAUAAAAUGAGCCGACAAUUUUUUUUAGGAUCUGAUACGAAAUCAGCUGAAUUCUAGGAUAGCAAACUACCUUCGUGUAAUAGGUUUUUGGGGGAUCGUACAGGUAGGUUAUUUUGAAAUUGAUCAUGGAUUGAUUACAUCGCUUAUUGAGCGAUGAAGGCAGGAGACCCACACAUUUCAUCUUCCCGUGGGUGAGGCCACAGUCACUUUACAGGACGUGGAGGUAUUAUGGGGUCUACGUGUUGACGGAUUAUCAGUGACACUUGUUGAUCGAAAUAGUAAUAUUGCACGCAAGAAACAAUUAAUCAAGGAGCUUCUAGGUUUUAGACCUGAGACGCGACACUUAAGGAUGAGAGGUUGAAACUUGUUCCAAUAUUUGACUUUUUGUACGAGCCUCCUCCAGAUGAUGCACCGGAGGAAUUAGUUCGACAACAUGUUUGAUGCUACAUUUUGAUCUUAUUUGUUGGACAAUUAUAUGCCUACACGUGUGGAAAUGUUGUAAGUUGCCACUGGUUGGAUUACUUACGAGACCUAGAGGCUUUGAGUAAUUUCAGUUGGGGCAAUGCUACACUUGCAUGUUUAUAUUCCCGUCUGUGUAAAGCGUCUUACGCAACGACAAGCUGCACAGCUGGCCCGAACAUGCUUUUGCAGGUAUUGGAUGCAUAAUUUUGGAAUCAUUGCACGUCCAUAUUUCAUUUAAAUGCAAUAGUGAUUUAACGUAAACAAUUCGUAUUUUUUACAGUUAUGGACUUGGGAGAGAAUGCCCAGGAUUCGUCCGACCGUAUUGUUUCCUGCUGUACAGGGCGAUAAUUUUUCCAGAGGUGGUCGCUGGGCAGGAGAACGUACGACUAGAUACGUGCCAUCGCAUGUCGUCUCAUUAUUUCGUGAUGCACUCACCAAGAUGGGAGCCGACGAGGUACUCAAACUAAUAUACAAUUUUGAUAAAAAAAACUCUCAAUAUGUAUUUAUAAUCGCACUUAGUUGAACAAAUUUAUUGUCAUAGUUUAUCUGGGAGCUGUAUUCUACCAACCUUAUUGCACAGCUCCUCGCUUAUUAUUUAGCCGAACAACACAUAUGGCGGUCAGUAGUUCCGUUGAUAUAUUGGGAGGUUGUGGAAUUUCACCUCCCGCAACGGGUACUAAGACAAUUUGGGUUAUUUCAACUGAUACCUGCCUCCGUUGACACAGACACAGAUAAGAAAUUACAUUCUUUAAGUCGCUCAGGGCGUUCCGGAAAGGAUUGGAUCCUGUACCAUAGUCAUUGGGUGCAAUACUGGGAACAUCGUGCUCAAUUGAUUGUUGGUGGAUAUCGCAGCGAUCCAUUAAUGACUUUAUAUGAGUAUAUUGUAUGGUACCAGAAUAUUACUGCUCGCUAUAUAGCACCUCCUGUUUCAUGGCAAGCAGUAGAUGAUGCUCAUCGGCCAGAAAGGGGACAGUUCGACUACUUGGUAAAUUAUUAAACACUUUCCCUUUUUAUGUAAUCAAAUCCCAUUACAUGUUUAUUUAUUAACAUAUAAUAUGAUUACAAUAUACAAAUUUCUCUUUUUUUAGGUUGAUUCGAUGUCUCGGAUCGGUUCGAUCUAUGGGAUGUAUCUCGAUCCCGCAAAUCCAACGCAGAGUGCUCAUCCGGGACUAACAACUAUUCGUGAGGAGGCAUUUGGGGCAUUACAAUACCUGAAUCUAGGACAUAAAACGGUAGCUAGCCCAUUUGACCGUCAAGAUAUUGGUCAAUCUGCCUCUUCUGCUGCCCCUUUUCAGAUGCCUGUCGAGCAUCUACCUAGGGAAGUCCGUGGUAGGAAACAAGCAGUUAGACGUCGCAGAGGGAGCACCUCCACGCAUGCUGUUGAUGUGCCGGACGAAGAUAUAAUGCAAAUUUCAUCACUAUUCGGUUACGAUCCACCUAUUGGCAUACACUUUUCUCAUAAUGAAACUUUCUUCACACCUCCUACUAUGCCAGCUUUCGGAGGUCAUUUCAGUGAUACACCUACUCCCAUACCCGUAUUUGACUAUACGUCUGCUGCUGCACCAGCGUCUACAAUGCUUGCUACAACGAUGUGUCCAGAAAUUAAGUUUCAAGAUAAUCUUGACCAAAUGUACCGCUUCCUAGAGACCUCGGUUGGUUUCUCACCUGCUUUGCAUAUGGACGACGACAGUGUUCCCAUUAGUGCUUCUUUUCAAGCACCUAUACAUGGCUCUUGUCCUAGAUGCGGUCAAACUCCGGUAUUCAAUCCCUCCGUUGAUGAUGACGAUGAUCAAAUAUCUGAACAAAUUCAUGCAAUUUCUCAGAGGUUUGAACGAUUACAAUUGGGACGAGAUCUACCACAUGAGAGAAUUCAUUGGAAAUGUGGCUGUUCUACCACUCCGCGAGAUAAGGGCAAGAGGCGCGUUGAUGGGUGAUUUAAAAAAUAUUAUUUUUCAAAUUUUUCUUAUCGAAACUCUCAUUUUAUUAUCAAUUAAGUUUAUAUGCUAAUUAUUACAUUCUAUAAAUAUUGUUUAAUGUUGCAUUAUUUAUCAUUAUUCAAAUUAGCAUUAACAUUAAAAAUUUUAAAAAUAUGACUUAGGUAAAUUUUAGAGUGUUUUUAAUAGCAUACUAAUUAUUUAAACCCUAAACUCUAAUUAAGCCUAAUUUAUUAUUAUUUAAGUUUAUAUACUAAUUAUUACAUUCUAUAAAUAUUAUAUUAUUUAUCAUUAUUGCGAUAAUAAUAUUAUAAAAUUUAAAAAAUAUGACUUAGGCAAAUUUUAUUAGUAAUUUAAUAGCAUACUUGAUUAUCAUCUUAAUUUAUAAAUUUAACAUUAUUCUAAUAUGAUAUUUUAAAUUUUUGAUAAUUUUGGUUUACAAUAGAAUUUUAGUAAUACGAUUUAAGAAUUUUAAUUUUAAAAUUAGGGUUAAAGGGUUACACUGUAAUUUGAAAAUUAGUAUUUCAUGUAAAACAUAAAACCCUAAUUACGCCUAAUUAAGGUUACUUUUUACAGGAGAAAAAAACUUGGUCACGCUGCCUUUUAUUAAAUAUUAAAUAACUUAUUAAAAAUUAAAUAUUAAAUAAUAAAAGGUAGGAAGAAUGCUUCAAUAAAAAAAAAAGCAAGAAUGCAUCGCCGCUCAUGAGCGGAAACACAUAAAAACAAAAACCUUCGCCGCUCAUGAGUUGAGCGGUGAUCAAAAUUCCUUCACAGCUUAUUUCAUGAGCGGCAAAGCGUUUUUAAAAAAAAAAAUUAAACCAAGCAAAAAUAAAUGAAAACUAAAAGUCUUUUUAUUAGUAGCCUCACGUCUCAAUUGCGACGACCCCUUAUUCCGAAACACUCCCGACAUAACACCAAUUUUCUGAACAUUUUCAAUUUUGACAAUAUUCCUAGAAAUUCAACCUAGUUGGUUCAUUUUAAUAUGUAAAUAUUUGAUAGUACAAAAGUAAACACAAACACUUUUCGAGCUUUUCCCACUGUCAGCACUUGAAUCUUGAAUCUGACAACAGGGGAUGGGGAGGGAUGAAAGGUUUAAAAAAAAAGGGUUAAUUCCACUUUGUCCCCCCAAACUUUGGAUGAUUAUCCACUUAAAUCCCUAAACUUUAAAAUGGGACACUUAAGUCCCUAAACUUAUAAAUACCUCCCACUUAAGUCCCUGAACUUAUAAAAUGAGACACUUUAAUCCCUAAACCCUCAUAAAAUGGGACACUUCGACCACCAACGGCAUUCAGGAUUUGUUAACAAUUUUCCUUAAGUGGGAGGUAUUUAUAAGUUUAGGGACUUAAGUGUCCCAUUUUGAAGUUUAGGGACUUAAGUGGAUAAUCGUCCAAAGUUUGGGGGGACAAAGUGGAAUUAACCCAAAAAAAAAUUCAAAUAGCAACCUAAUGGCAAUUUGGGAAAAAAAACUUUACCGACCAUUAGACCAAUUUUCUCAAAAUGAGGGUUUAAAGUGCUAUAUUGGAAGACCUUCAGCCCUCCCAGGACAAAUGAAUAUGCCCAGGGUCAUGGAGCCUGGAUUCUGAGUUUCUGAACAAGGAGAAAAAUAGAUUUCAAUUCUCUGAGGAAAAACCAGAAAAGGUAAAGAAUCAAGGAAGAAGGAAUGGAUGAAGAAGAAGGAGGAGGAAUAAGGUUAAGCAAGAGAUUUUCAGACAAAGGAGGAGAGGUUGAUUACAAAACCAAAGCAGGCACCGCUUGGUCUCAUUCUUACCUCAAUCAGAAGCCAUGGCACCCUCUUUCUUACCCUAAUCAACGCCGCAAGUGGAUCGCCGAGCAGACUCACGCCCAGCGAGAACGCCGCGCCGAAGAAGUUGCCCGCGAGGUACUUUUUUUUCCUUAAUUUUGUUUCAAUUGAUUUCUGAGGAACCAUUUUUGCUCCAUUUUUUUUGUUUAAUGAACGGAAAAGCCCAGUUAAGAUACAGAAAUCUUUGGUUUCUGUUUUUCUUUUUGGUUGGUUAUUAUUAUUGUUUCUUGUAUUCAGUAGAGGACAAAAGCCUAGUUGCAGUUAGAUAAGUUCAAUAGUUUCUUUGGUUGUGGAUUAUCUUGUGGAAUUUUCAGAUUAUGAACUACUAGUAGAAAGGGAAGAGCCCCAGUUACAUGGUGUAUUGAAUUUCGAGGAUUUUUUUGGUUGCAGAUUUUAUAUGCAGAAGCAGAAUAUGUAAGAAAAUAGUGCAUUUUUGGAAUCUAAACAGUUUUGCAAAUGUUGCAAAGGUUUUAUAUUGUGGAAAACCCUGAUUAUCAUGUGUUUCAGGAGUUUUGUAUUGCAUAUUUUAUAGGCAGGAGCAGAAUAUAAAGAAACUAUUAUAGUAUUGGAGUCUAUAAAUAGUUAUACAAAUUUUGGAAAGGUUGUACAUUCAGCAUAUUUCUCAUUUUAUACUUAAAUUGUAUCAUGGGCAUUGGCUCAUCCGUGAGGUACAUUUUGAGGUACUUAGGUGCUCGUACUAUGUUGCCUAUUUUUUAAGGAUAAAAGUAGAAUUUGAAACUAGACGAGACUGAACUAUGAUAAAGAUUCUAUGUAUAACAUAUACAGACAGUUAAAUAGAAAAAAAAAAUUUGAAUUGGUUGAAUUAUUGGCUAUGUCUUCCUAUCUUUUUGAAUUUUAGUUGGGUACCUGCGAAUUGCUCUAGACACUAAUUCCUAUAGUUAUUUUUAACUGUUUGAUUGUUGCUUCAUUUUAGCUAUGUGAUUCUGUUUAUUUUUUUCUGAUGUAAUAUAAUACCCUGUCUUAUUUUGAUUCAAUGUUUGUGCUUAUUGGUACUUUUGGUCAUGUGUUUUUUCAGUAUGCUCAGGAGCACGAAUUUUUCCGCCAGACAGCUCUCGUCUCCAAGAAGGAGAAAGAAAAGGUACUUUGCGUGCACUGUAUAACUCUGUAUUUUGUACACUUCAAUACAGUUAUAUUAUGUCUAUGGGCGUUCCCCAUUAGUGGAGAUACCAGGUCUAAUCAUGUGCUUAUAGAGCAUGCAAGGAAAGUGUUGAUUGUCUGACUGAAUGUGCAUAAACUAAGUAAGGUAAUUGAUGCAUGACUUGUGUUCUUGUAGAUGGAGACGAUGAAAGCUGUUAGCUUUAUGUAUGUCAGACCACCUGGUUACAAUGCAGAGAGUGCUAAAGCUGCAGACAUGGCUGAUGAGAGGAAGAAGCAAGAGCAGGAGCAAAAUAACACUUCCCAAGGACCAUUUGAACACGGUGCUUCCACGUCGAUGUAAAUGCUUAGUUUUUAAAUUCUGGUUUCUCUAUUUCUAAGUGUGUAUGGCUGCUUAAUUAUGAUGUCUGUGUGUGCAUGGAUUAUGAAAGCUAAAAUACACUGGGCUUUGAUGUAGGAAGCACGAAUCUUUGCCUUCUAGUGAGGAGAAAAAGAAGCCCAGGCCAAAGGAUGUCUUUGGUCGUGCCUUGCCAACAGAAGAACAAUUUGAAGUCCUUAAGCAUGCUCCAAGGUCCGCAUGUUCUGCUCUUAUUUUGUUCUUGGUGUACAAUAGUUUUUCAAAGCAGUAUUCUAUCUGAAUGACGUAUUUUUCUUUACAUUCUCAACAAGUAACUGUCUUCCUGAGUUGGAAAUUAUUGGUCCUGUCCAUAUAACCUGUUAAUAUCAAUAAAUUGCAUUUCAGAUAUUCUUGAACAUAUUAAUUCAUACAUACCAAGAAUUCUCCAUAGAGCAGUUUUGUGUGUUAGGUUUUAAGAAUAUUAGAAGGUACCCUGUGGCUUUUGUCUCCGUUGAUAAUACAUAACAAAAUUUGCAUAAAUGUGUUUUGGCAAUACUUUAUUGUAUAUCCUUCAUCAGUAAUGUGCACGAUUGUAUGUAUUCACUAUUCACAUUAUAAAUGCUAAUUUUGAUGAUCUUCUCCAGGCUAGAGACAGGUGUUGCUGGCAGGUCCAAACCAUUUGGAGUGGAGAUACGCAAUGUAAAAUGCUUAAGAUGUGGAAACUUUGGCCAUCAAAGUGGUGAUCGUGAAUGCCCAUUGAAAGAUGCUAUAAUGCCUAGUGAAGAGAAUAGAUUGAAAAGAGAUGAUCCUUUAACAGCUAUCCAGGCUCUGACAGAUGUGAAUGAGGUACAUAUUGAUUCUUCUUACACAUCUAGCUAGUUAUAUUCAUCUAUAGACUUCUUUAACUCAAAGUAAUUAAUUUUUCCUUGAUAAAUAUGUUGGCUUUUAAUUUAUAAUACUUUACUCAAUCUGUUAGUCUUUUUUCUCCCAAAUUUUAUAAUAGUGAAUGAUGGAAUUAUUUCCCAUUUACCUCUCUGUAGCUUCCUCAGAACUGCAAGAGAGAGAGGGGGGGGAGAGAGAGAGAGAGUUACUAGAUGUUCAAGUAUAUUUAAAACUUCAAUCUGUGUUUUGUCCUUUUGUCUCCUUUGGGAAAUCGAAAGGAAAGCCAAGCUCUGAUGGAAUUUAGAAGUCCAUGCAGUUGCUCAUGCUUUUCUUCCAAAUAUUUUUCAUUGGUACAUAUAAAGACUACAUAUAAAGAAGGUUAUUUUUGGUUGGUCUUUUGGCAAAGUUCUAUUAGAUGUGUAGAUACUCAUUUUUACUGGAUCUCGCUAUAGCAAUGCAGAGAGUAAAAUGAUUGUUGCCCUUUCAAAGAUAUGAAGGAAGGUCUCUGAAGUUAUCUUGUGAGCGUGAGGACUACGUAAUCAAUCAAACAUCACUUGAAAAUGGCUCUUCUGCUCAGAAACGAAAUGUUCCAACUUGUAGGCAAACUAUUAUAAUUAUUUUAUAGAUUUUUUAUUUUUAUUUUUUUAUGAAUUUAAGCUGAUUUACAUCUCCGUGUAAAAGCUGGGAUAUGUGGUAUGAUAAUUGUUAUUCCUGACAGUCUCAUAGUGAAAAUUGUAGUAAUUCUUUUAGGUAAUUUAUAAUUGAGAAUAGCCCCUGGUUUUGGCAAAUCGGACGUGCAUAUACUGUCUUCUUCUGUUCAACGCAUCAUGUCUGUGCAAAUGGCUAGUACUUUAUAUUUUUAAUAAAUGUUUUCCAAGUAUUAUUUACAUUCAGAUGGACUACUGGUCUAUAGUUGAGACAAUAGGGGUAAACAAGGAAAAGACAAUCUGGUUUCCCAAUGGGGAACUCGAACUCUUUGUUCUUUUAAGAUUUUUAAGAUUAAAGUGCAGAGCUCAGUGGAAUGACUUCCAAAAUUUUCUAAGAGGAGAUGGAUUGUGUGCCAAAGUGCACUGCAAAUUUACCCUUGAAACAAUAAAUUCAUUUUCUUUUCCUUGUUUAGAUUUUCUUUUCCCUCCACUGGGUUAGGGAGAAGGUGGUGGGGUCGCUAAAAGAGAGAAUAACUUUUGUGUGAUCCCAAGUUUUGGCCAUCUGGAUACUUUUAUCACAUAUUAAUUGCAAUCAGAUUAAAUAAUUACAGGUCCUUUGGCGUUGGAAGGGCAAAUAUUACUCUACUAUGUAGUAUAUAGGAAAGUUUCUUGGUAUAAAGUUGCAAUGUCUUCCCCAUUCCACCAUGUUCUUCUGCUGUUUCCAUUUGACAGUGUCUUCCUACAUCUGAAGCAAGUGAUCUGAUUUUUCGUAUAUUCUUUCUCCUGUCAUCUUUGCUCUUACCAGACUAUCAUUUAUCCACUGGUCGUGUCUGGAAAUUGCACAUCAAAACUACUUGGCAGUUAUACAAGUUAUUAUUUAUCUAUAAUUUUUUAUACUUGUUUGUUGUACUUCGAGAUGCACACUAUACAGUUUGCUUCUUUCAUUAGUUGCCUCAUUCUGCUGUAAAUUUGACUUUCAAGUUCAGUUGAUUCAGCAGCUAUAAGUAUUUGCUGGACAAGUAUUAAUCACUGAUUAUCACAAUCUCAAGGAAAGACAUGCAGUUUGGAUAUUGUAGAUUUAAGCCUUUAAACAAUUUUCUUCACUUGAUAUGCAGCCAUUUAAGUGGGAGCUGAAACAAAAGCCAGGAUUGAGUCCCGUUCGAGGUGGGUUUAGGGCUGAUGAUCCAAACCAACAAAUCGUUGCUGAGGACAUAUUUGAUGAGUACGGAGGUGAUAUUUUUGUUGCUUCUAUAAAGUUUUAAUUGAAUGAUUUAUUAGUUCUACUCAAGAGAUGUAAAUGUAGUCCGUCUUGAAUCAAAUCAUGCCAGGGUUUCUAAGUGGAGAUAACAUCCCUGACUUGCUGGCCAAUUUUUCAUCAAGCGAGCCAAAGAAAAAGUCAUCUAGUAAGAGGAAACAUAAAAGGCAGUUAUCACCUACUGAAGUAAGUGGUAGAGAAAAGUGGUCAUCUUCCAGUGAUGAUGGUGGCAGAAGAUUGGAGAAGAAGAGACACAAGAAGUCAUCAAGAAAGCAUUCUCACUCAAGUUUGGCAGUUAACUUAGAUUCCAACAUGCUUCAAAAGGGUAACAGAUCAUUGGCUGGUGGUGAUAGGGAUAGACAUUUGAAGAAGAAAAGAAGUGAUAGGAAAUCACAGAAGCAUUCAGUGUCAAGUUUGCAAGAAAACUCUGAUUCUGAUGUGCCAUAUGAUCAUCGAGAUAAUGGGUCAUCAUCUGGUGAUGAUAGGAAAAGGAGAUCAAAGCUGUCAUCAUCUUCUGGUGAUGAUCAUGGGAGGAGAUUGGAGAAGAAGAGACAUCAUAAGUCGCCAAGAAAGCAUUCUCGCUCAAGUUUGCCAGAUAAGUCAGACUUUGACAUGCCAUACAAUAACCGAAAUGACCAUAGGUCAUCAGCUGGUGGUGAUAGGAUUAGUAAAUUGAAGGACAGAAGACAUGAGAAGAAGUCAAGGGUGCACUCAGAGUCAAGUUUGCGAGAAAACUCAGAUUCUGGUGUGCCGUAUAAUCACCAAGACGAUGGGUCAUCAUCUGGUUAUGAUCGAAAAAGGAGAUCAAAAAAGAUACAUAAGAGGAAGUCACCAAAGCAUUCUUACUCAAGUCAAUCUGAGAUCUCUGACUAUGAUAGGCAUUGCAGGAGCAGUAGGCACAAGCAUUCUCAUCCAACCUCAUCUGAGAAUUUGGACUUUGAUGGGCAUUACAGAAAUCGUCGUCAUCGUCAUGGUUAUCGCCAUUAGAAUUGUGUCUUUUUUCUGGUUUGAUCUUUUGAAACCACCAACGAUCCUUCCAUGAAGCUGCACCAAACUAAUACAGUUAGACACACCCGAGAGGUAAUGAGCGUUCACUGCGUCAGACACUCUACACAGCAGCUUUUUGCAUUUAGAUCUAAAUUUGCCUCCUUUCUCUCAAUACAAAGCUGAAGAACAAAAAUGAUGGUGAAGCUGCAGCUAUAGGUGUUCAAGAUUUAUGGGGACCUGUUUUUGCUUAAAGCUGAUGUAAGAUGGAGUCAAAUGACCUUCGUGGUGAAAGGAGAAAUUCACUUCCCUGUUCAACACUCUUGUUCUUGGGGUUACUGAUACAAAAACAUCACUGCAAUUAUUCUUUGGUUUAAAGUUUAAAUGCAUAAUCUUGACUUCAGGCUCUCAUGUCGUUGCAGGGGGUUGAAAUAUUUGUAAAAUUUCCCUCCCUCAACCCAAGAGCUUUGGUGUAAAAAGACUGUCUAUUAGUCAGUUGAAUAUUCUAAACAGGCAAGUUUAAAAGCUUGGAAUCUUUCAGCACAAUUGGUUUGUUUCAAUACACUGGUAGAUCUAUGGCAUUAGAUGUUUUUUAAGUUACUCCAGACACUCCUGCUAUGUUGCAGCAAGGUGCCCAGUUAAGAGCUAGUCGAAAAGUCCACCUUGUGGACAAGACUUCCACGUCUAGGUUGCAAAAUUUGCAAUGAAUUAUCCUUUCUCUUAGCCUCAAUCAAUUUUCUGUCUCACGUAUUAGGUCCUCUAUGAAGACCGAGCCAAAAAUUUAGCAACAAAAGUGAGUAUAACUGGGAUGGUGAGCCAAAAAAAAAAAAGGAUAAAAUAGAAAAUUGAUUGAAGUAACGAAUAAGCUCACUUGGUUUUUAGUAGGGUUAAAUGCAAAAAACCCCACAAACUAUAUAACCAGUUGCAGUUUACCCCCUAAAUUAUAAUAAUAGGCAUUUUGUCCCCUUGAAUGAUAUGUUUGGACAACAUUACCCCUACUAUCUUAAAUCCUUUCUCUUUUUUUUCUCUAUUAGCUUUUUUCAUUUUUUUCCUUUUAUUUUCUUUUUGUUCUCCUUCUCUCAUGGAACUAGCCAACGUCUUUCUCUGAUGUGAAAAGACUUACAUCAAAAAUUUUAAUAUUUUUAAACUGCUUUUUUAAUUUGUUUAUUUGUUAAAUUCAUUCUUAAUAAUUUGUCAUAAACUCUUUGUUAUUACAAAAUAUAUGUAACUUAUAUUAUAAAGUGUAUUAAUCUAGUAAUUCAACAAUUUAAGUACCUAUAAACUAAUUAAGAGUUCACAGUUACUCAACUACUUAUAAUAAAAGUAACAUAUUAUAUAUCACAUAAAAAAGAAAAGUUAGCAAUUGUUAUUUGUAGUGAAAUAAAAAAUAAGAAUAAAAAACAAUAGUAGUUCAUUUUUUUUGUUAUUGAUACUACUAAUAAUUGAUUAAUCAAUUUCUCUAUUUUGUUAUUAUAUAUUUGAAAAGUUCAAUUUCUUAAAUGACAUUGAUUUCAACAUUUGGAAAAAAAAUUUUGUAUUCCAUAGAUUUUUUUUUUAAAAAUAUUGACAUACGAAAUUAAGAAAUAAACAAAUUUUGACUAAUCUAGUCUACUUAUUUAAACAAUGUUUAAAGGAAAAAAAGGGAAGAAUUUAAAAAGAAAAUGAUAGGGAAAAAGAAAAAUAACAAUGCUUAAAAUAAAAGGGGUAGAUUUGUCCAAACAUAUCAUUCAAAGGGGCAAAAUACCUAUUAUUAUAGUUUAGGGGGUAAACUGCAACUGGGUAUAUAGUUUGUGGGGGUUUUUUGCAUUUAACCCUUUUUAGUAUGCAGCGAUAAAUUCUUCCACUAAUUUAAGUAAAGGCUGAAGAGGUCCAAAUUGCCUACAUCAAAUUUCACUCACUCAAGCAAAUUUCACUCACUCACCAAACAUAUCUGGCAGAUUGCCCCAAUCCAGUGGGACGGUAUGCAAGAGCAUCAUGGCUGUUUCAAAAGAUGGUGGAUCUCCGUCAUCGAGGCAAGGCAUAGGACAGCAGGAUCGCAACAUUUGGCCUUAACUGUCAACAUUCUUUGGCAGAUUUGGAAGGCUAGAAAUGACAUGGAAUUUAAGGGGAAAGCUCAUCAGCCCUGGAAGAUUAUAAAGAAAGCACAGGAGGAAUGGAUAGAAUUCGAUGAAGUAGCAAAGAAGGAAGCUAGGAUGAGCACAGGAGAAACAUCAACUCACAACAAUGAAGACCAGCAAUUAGAGCCGGAAGAGGGAACUGUGGAAAUGAGAGUUGCCGCAACAAGACAGACAGACAAACCUAUCUUAGGCAUUGGAAUCACUUCAGCUGAAAGGAACCAAGAACCAAUGAUAGGAUGGGCGCUAAGGGAAAGAAGCUCAGGGGUACAGCUUCUGGACGAUGCAGUAGCAUUAAAGCUGGCUAUGUGCAAAGCAAUUACAUUGCACCAAAGGAAAGUACAAUUCCAAGUGAAGAAUAUGCAACUCCUCAAUCAUAUUCGAACUCAGAAGGCAAGUGACAGCAGAAUAGCUACGCUGGUGGAAGACAUUGUACUUUUGAAAGGGUUGUUUCAUAUGUGCUCCUUUUGUCUAGCUAAUAGUGAUAAAAAUUAUCUAAGCUCUAGUAUCAGCAUAUAUGCCUUAGGCAUCACAAUUGAUGAGGAAUUGGUGUUUCCUCAGUGUUAAGCACACUGGUUGUAAAGUCAAUUCGAGCCUUUGCUCGCUCUUGUAUAUCUUUUGAAAGUAAUAUAAUCAAAUAUCGUUUUGGAAAAAAAAGCAAGAAGCCGUUUAGAAAUUAUCGUUUCGAAAAAAAAAAAAAAAAGCAAGAAGCCGUUUAGGGAAGCAAAACUUCCACCCCACAUGGUAAUAAUUUUUCAAGCGGUGGUUUUUACAUUUUGAAUUGGAUAUGAUGCUAUCUGGACCAAAAUUUAAGGGUAUCUAUAAUUGUCAAUGAGAAUUACACCGUGUAAUAUAGUCCAAUAAAUGUAAGCAUUAAGACAAUAACAUGAGAAAAUACAAAAUUAAAAAAAAAAAACUUUUUCACUUCAUGAAAUUUGUGCCCAAAACUCAAUCUCAAAUGUCUAAAUUUAGAUUUGUCUAUUUCUCACCAUGAGUUGUUCUCUGCAAAGAACCUGGAUCCGAUGCUAGCUAUGGUGCUGGAGGUCUUCUUCAUUUUCAUAUUAUUAAACUUUCUAACGUUUAUAAGCAAGAUAAUAUACUUAGUCGGAGGAUUAUGUGGUCUAACUAGAUUAAGGGAUUUUGCUAUUACCAAUUUCUUACGUUUAUAAGUAAGAUAAUAUACUUAAUCUUAGGAUUAUGUGAUCUAAUUAGAUUAAGGGAUUCUACUGUCACCAAUUUAAACUAUACGGUACAAUGUAAAUACUAACACAAUAAAUAUAGACACCAUUACAAGAUGUAAAAAACAUAACAAAUUUUUGACACAUUGAAAUAUGUGUCCUGCGUUUUUUUUUCUCUUCCAUCCAAUUUCACAACGCUCCAUCUACCACUCUCAUCUCAUUUGCAGAGGAUCUGAAUCCAAUCCGAACUCUAAAGGUCUGAGCGUAGCAUGAUGAAAAUGGGACUGGAAAUUAUUGAAUUCCAAUAUUUGCACAUAGUUGCAUCUAAUGAGGGGCAUUAUUUGCACACAAAUAAGGAUUUAAGUGCUUCUUCCAGGAAAAAACUAUUUAUAUAGGAAACGAGGUGAGGAAAACUAGGAAGUUCUUACACCAAAACCGAAUUCGAUUUGAAGUUUUUGGAUUCAACCCAUUACAAUCAGGAAAAGAAACUAAUGAAUUUGUGACACGUGGGGGCCGGUCCUAUUUGUUAAUAAGACUUUGUAAUUUUGUCAACAAAUCUAACAUUACCACCUGGCAUGCUUAAACAAAAAUAGCUAGUAUUUUUGCCCGAAUCCACUUACAAAGAACGACUAAUAUAUUUUUAAAUGAUAAAUACAAAUCUUAAAAUCUUAAAAUUAGGAAAAUGGACCAUUUUUAGUAUACGAUUUUCCUUCUCACACCCUAAAGUAAUUUGCCUUUGAUGGGACAUAACCAAACCAAAAUCCUAAAGCCACAAAAUUAUGAAAGAUUGGGCUCUUGAUUUUGAAAAAGGGUAAAUUUCGAUGACUUCUUUUUUUGCAAAAGAUCUUCUAUCCCAUUUUCUAUACAAUGUUCUAUCCCAACAUCUAUUAAAUCAUCAUAUAUCCUUCAUGAACAUCCCAUUUUAAUUCUUUUUUUCCCUUGGAGUUCCAGCAAAUUACUUAUAGGGUAGAAUACAAAAUAGAAGAUAUAAAAGACAAAAUUGAAUAACAUUCUAAAUUGACACAAAUGGUUUGACUUUUUUCAUAAAGAAAGUUUUAUUUUAUAAUUUUGUUUCGCAUUUAAUAGUUGAUAUGUAAUAAAGAAGAGUCGACAAUGAUCAAUUGCUGUAAAAGAUAAAGCAUAACUAUUUAUGUAGAACCCAUAUCAACCUUAAAUAUUCCUAAACUCAUCUACAAUCUCAUAUCAACCUUAAAUAUUUCUAAACUCAUAUCAACCUUAGAUAUUCCUAAACUCCAAUUUCAUGAUUGCCACCUUUCUAAUACAAAAUAGCCUAAGUCAUCACCACUAAUACUAACACCCAAUACACUCCAUUAGUACAAAGUUCAAAAUCAGUCAAAUUUUCUCUCUGUAUAGGACCAUCACCAAUAACUGCAAAUAAAAAAUAGAAACACAAUGUAAUUAUGAUAUACUAGGAACAUAUUUUUUCCAUAACAACCAUAAUAGUAUAAGUUUUAUUUAGUCUCUCAUCCAUUUUUCACCCUUAAUUUUUUUUAAUCACUACCAGUAUCUUCAUUUCUUCUUCUCCUUCUAGUUUGACAACUAAAUCGUCACUUAACUUCUUGUUUGACAAUUUCAAUUUGCUAAUACCUGCAAAAAAUUGAAACCAAAAAUGACCACAAAAAAGCUCUUUAUUAGUAUUGAAAGAGAGUGAAUUGGAAUUAGACACCAUAAUGGGUAAGUAUUGGUGGUUGGUACGCAUGGUGGUUUUGUUAGUAGUGGCAAUAUACAUUUGAUCAAUGGGAAUAAAUAAAUAAGUUUGAAAGAAAAGAAGAUGUAGGAGGGAGAAGAUAGAGAGUUAAAUAUGAAAAACUCUAGUUUGAGUCAUUGGUUGAUAAUAGAUGAGAGAAAACUAAUUUUUGGUAGAGUUAUUUGAUGAGUUGACAAUUAAAUGAAGGGCAUUUGUUGUCUUUUUAUUACACCUAGGGAAGUCCUCAUAAUUAUGUAAACUUCAGGGAAGCCGAGUGAAAUUGCUAGGAACUUCAAGGGAGGUUUUUGAAAUUAUCUCAUUGUAAAAAAGGAACAAAAUCAAGUUUAUAAAGUUGAUCUUUAGGGGAACUAAAUCAUCAUAUUAUUGCUUCCGGUUACGUUUGGAUUGAAAACCAAUGGUAGGAAAAGAAAUACAACUCCACGUUACAAAGAAAACACUAUUAAUCUGAUUUAGAGUAUAGGCCAGAUCAACUAUAUCGAUUAUUCAUUAGAUUGACUGGUGAUUAGUGAAUGUGCAUUAAAAAAAAAAUAGUAUACAUUUCUUUACAUGCAAUCAUGUAGAUUUCUUCAUAUGUGUCCAUAACAAUAUCAUUAGUGGUACUUACCUAAUAAAAAAAAUUAUGAGUGAUAUUUCCAAUUGCCGAUUACUGAAAAAUUUAAAAAAAAAAAAUCCAAUUGCUGGUUUCUGUCCUAGACUCCGAGGUUUAUUAUUCUUUCGCGCUGCGCGUGGAUGUAUAUAACUCAAUAUCUUGUAGUUGGAAAAAGAUUGAGUACAAGGAAGUCUUUUACAUCUAUUUUUCCUAGAUUUUAUUCCUCAUCGUUGCCUUGUAUUCUACUCCAGCUCAUUUUCGGUAACCACAAAGUUAAAGCAAUUAGUUAUAUCUCCCGUGGCAGAAUCUUUAAUUAAUUCAUGAUUCGAGAAAUAUUAAAGAAGUGAUUUAAUGUGAUUAUUUACCGAUUGCAGUGGCUAUUCUGUGUACUUUGGUUAGAAAAUGACUUAACAACGUGAAAUUGCUUAUGAACUCCAAACCCCUUAAUUCCCUUCAUUUGUUAUUAAUUAGAUGCACUCAACAAGGAGGGAAAAAAAAAGGAUGCUUCACCUAUCAUCUAUAGGUCCCGGAUGCAAGUCAUCAAUGUGGUGGUGGAGUCCCACUUUUGAUACUCUUUUUGAAUGAGAAAAAAAAAAGAAGAAAAAAAUGCACUCAAUACAAUUAAUAAUGGCUAAAGAGUAAAUUAUUGAGUUUUACAUUAAAAAAAAUGCUGACAUUUACCAUUUAAUUUCCUUGUUAACGUUAGAUAUUAUAAGUAAAUUAAUUGUUAGACAAAAGUUAAACUUAUUAGUUUGAUUCCAUACCCAAAAAAAAAAAAAAUGAAAAGAAGUUCUCAGAGCUUAUAUAUCUAGUUUUGCAAAGGUUACACAACCAUAUUGCUCCAAUUAUUGGCAGAUGAAGCUAAAAGGAAUCUUCAUUUUCUUGAUAACAACCUAAAGAUAUGGACACUCUCACUCAGUAGUGGAGUGAGGUCCCUAAGGUUCCUAUCACCACAUAAUAUGUAGUAAUAGUAGAUUUACAAUUAAAGGACUUCUAUGUUGAACAUUCCUUUUCCUAUGUUGUUUAAUACUUGCAAGUCAGAGUUGUGCUAUAAUGUGCCAUUAAUGAGUUUAAGAAUCUUGUGAAGCAUAAGAAUUACAAAUUUUUUUAAUUAUUUAGUGGGGCAACAUAGAUAAAAAGAGCAGAGAAAAUACAAUUUCAAAAAUUUUAGGGGACAAAGUAUAUAAGAAAGACAAUUUUGUGGAAUUGAGGGGGGCACAAAUAGGAAGCAAUUUUAAAAAAUUUUAAAACUUUCCAAGCCUGAAAAAUGUUGAACUAGCAAAUGCCGAGAGAGAGAGAGAGAGAGAGAGAGAGAGAGAGAGAGAGAGAGAGAGAGAAUGUCCGAUUAUUUAUCGCAUUUCACAAAAAUGGAGAAUAAGUUACUCUUACCAACUAUGAAUUUUUUCAGAUCAGAUAUCCAAACAUCAUUCUUCUAUAAGUAGUAAUGUCGAAUAUCAUAAUUCAGAGGUAUUGUUUUCUAUCAAUGAGAAAAAUAGAAAAGAAAUCAUUUUGUGGAUUCGAAAUUCAUAAUAACAAUUGGUAUUUGUUCCAAAAAAGUGAGUAACAACCUAGCAACAAAGACACCUACAGCCUAUUUCAAAUAGAAUCAUAAAAUGCCAACUUUUAUCCAGAAAUCGGAUUUAAAUAGACUUUCAAGAAUUUGUGAAGAAUUUUAGCACAAGAUUAAAUUAAAUUCCUCCUGUGAACAAAUUUAUUUUCCCUCCAAGGUUGUUCUUUUCUGAGCCUCAAUAUCUUCAUUAUCCAGCACUGGUUCCUGUUCUUGAUCCUCAAAUUUCGUUAAAGAUUGCUGCUUAUCAUUUUCAGGGAACACUUUGUACAGUCCCAAGUAAAGACACAUACCAAAAACUGUAACUCCAACUAAGUACCAGCUGAAAAAAAGGUUCACUAAUGAUUUGGCUUUUUCAAGGGCUUCAUGAUCAUGGCAUCUGACAACUUCAUGACCAUCUUCCCACUUCAGAAAACAGCCUUUGGGAAUAUAUUCUGGUGUCCACAGCAUGAUUCCCAUGACCAUAAACCAAGCUCCUUGGAAAAAGAUGAUAAGAGACCUUAUGAAACUAUUCAAGAAACUCUUGGGGUAAACUAUGCAUAAGAGGGUAGUGAGAAAUGAGACAAGUAUGACAAUUUGAAGAAGCCAGUGAUAUUGGCCUUCCAGACCAAUGUGAUCAGCAGGGUGGAGAUUAAAUAGGAGAAACUGCUGGCCAAAGGAAACGGCUCCAAGCAUUUGCGAAAGGCCAUAUUGAGCUGGGGGCUGAAUUUUGUCUAGGAUAAUGCAGAGAAGUGCAUAGAUAAAGAAAGUCAAGGAUAUAUUUGAGUGCUCAAAGCUAUGUUUUCAGAACCGGACCGGAUAGCGACUCGGCCGAGGUCAGGGGUCAGGGGUCAAUGGGUUCGACCGGGGGUCGAUAGGGGUCGAACCGGAUGACGUCAUAAAUUAAAAUUAUUUAAAAAUUAAAAUAUUAUAUAUAUAAUAUCUAAUAAUAUAUUGAUAUUAAUAAAGGUAUAUCCAUAUAUAUUUGAUGUUUCAAAUAUAUUUAACAAGAAAAUACAAAGAAAUUAGAACAAUCAAGUAGCAAUUUAUAUUAUUUAAUAAAUAUUAACAAGUUUAGAAUUAAAAUUAUGAAUUUAAUUGAAAAAUAACAUCAAAUUUUAGGACAAUAUUUAUAAAGUAUCAAAUAUUUGAGGUAUAUCAAUAAGUUUUAACAAUUUAGGGGGUCAAAACAUAAUAUUAAAAAGUUUGAAUUUUUUUAAAAAAAUUACUGUUGAACCGGAAAAACCGAUUUUUUCCUGAUCAAACCUGAUUUUUGACCGGAUUUUAAAUUUUCGGUUUUUUAAUGUGACUCGGACCGGCUACCUGACCGGUUCCCGGUUCGACCGGCCGGUCCGGUCCGAGUUUGAAAACAGAGGCUCAAAGCUGUGAAGAUGGUUUGAUGGAAUAGUGCCAUCCGGGGUCCAACGGUUGGUGCCUUUUUGGACCAAUGAAGAGAUCCAUGGAUAUUGAGGCAAUGCAGCCUCCCAUGAUGAAGAAAAGUUCCAAGUACCUGAUUUUUGAAGUUGGAAACCAUGGCAAAGAUGUGUAGGAUUUUGGAUGGAGACAGUGAAGUCUGACAUGGUUAAGUAAAUGCCAGAGCCCAACUAGAAAGAAGCCGAAUCCAUGUCCCACCAAUUUGCCAUCUUGUUAUCCUGCUUUGGUUUGCCUUGCAAUUUUUGCUGCUUGGUUGAUAGUUUGCUUGGUUUGUGUGUUUUGUCCUACCAGAAAAGGAAAUAUGGAGGGUAUAGGAGGGGAAGAAAAGAAUGGAUCUCUACAAGUUAGAGAGGAAAAAGUAACGUGAAGGCAAGGAUAGGUUGGUUGGGAUGGUUUAUAAAGAAGGGAAUGGAGUAGGUGAACAGGUAAUCUGUACGAUUGUAUGGAAUUAUUAUAUUUUUUAUAAGAUUUGAUGUAUACUUAUAUUACCUUUUUUACACACAAAUUUUGUUUAUGUACAUCAAAAAUAUUGUAAGAGAUGUAUUUAUGCUAUCCAUUUAAUCUUGUAAGAAAUACGAUAAAUAGACAUAAUCGUAACGAAUCAUAAACGCUCCUAUUCGUGCGCCGGUGGGGUGGGGGUGGGCGGGAGAUUUGAAAUAUAUGUCAUUUUUCAAGGUCUUCAUGCUACUAUUUCUUCUUUGGGUGGAAAGCUUUUGAACAUUUUGAGGUACUCGUGACUGCAGCUUGCGUGAUUAGGAAAUGAGAUUGAGCAAAGAAGAGUUGACCGGGAACCGUUUGGCUGUUAUUUUCAAGUCAGUUGGCAAUUUUUAUUCUCUAGGGUUGAGCCAAUUUGCUGCCUGGAGAACAAAAUUGACAACUAAAAGUCAUAAUUGUCCUUCUUUUUUGCAUUAUCUUAUCACAAGGCAUGUUGAAAUAAUGAAACAAAAUCAAAACAUAGCCAAAACAAAAAAAAGUUGACAAGAAAGAAGAACAAAUAAUUCAAUUAUCAUACCGGCUAACUAAUCAUGCUAGGAAACGUGACAAAAUUUGUUAAGGAUAAAUUAACUAAAUUCUGGUUUACAUUUUUUAAAAUUUAACACUGAAAUUUGUAACAGUUUAAUUGCAUGCCAAGUUCUUUCGCCAGUCCAACUUUCUAGAUUUCACAAACUAAAGUGUCAUUGCACUAGUCUUUUGCAAUCUGUCAAUCAAUGGACCAAAGCAGAAUGAAUUGAAGAGUUUAGGUUAUAAAAUAUCCUAAAUAGAGAUUCAAGUCACAAAGUGAAAAUUGGUGUAAAAUUUAAACUGCGGUAUGAAAUUCUAACCCUUAAAUACUGUCAAGAACUACGCAGGGUUUUUUUUUUUUUUUUUUUUUCUAGAUUUUGAGGAAGUGAUUUUACAUUCGCAUAAAGUAUGAUUGGUUUCUUCACCAUAGAAUCAUCAGCUUGUGAUUAAGCAUCAAACUUAAAACACACAGGCAGCCAAGGCCCAACCAAAAAUAAAGACCAUUUUUUUUGGUUCAGAUGGAAUCAUAGAAGGCAAAGAUAUUGCAAUUAAAUCACCAGAAAACUUUUUUUUUGGGUCCCAUAACAAAAGUAAACUCAUGAUGGUAAUGCUGAAGAAGUAUAAUCUUAUCAAAGUUAAAGGAUGAUGCUAAACCAAAUAACUCGACUCGAGCUCGAAAACUACUCGAUCAACAGCUCAUAUUCAGCUCGUUUUGACCGAGUUCGAGUUCGAGCUACUCAUUUGAUCUCACAAGCCGAGCUUGAGCUCUAGUAUUUUGUACUAGAAGGCUCGACGAGUCUAAUCGAGUUUUUUACAAUAUAUAUUUUUAAAUUUUUUAAAUUUAUUAUUGUAAAAUGUCAAUAACAUCAUUUAUUUAAAAUUAUAUGUAAAAUAUUAAUUUUUAUUAUAUGAUAUUGAUUAGACUCGAAUAGGCUCGUCUAAACUCGAUUACACUCAAAUAGAUUGAUUGAACUUGAUUUGCCUUGAUUAGAUUUAAUUUAACUCGAACUCGAGUAAGGAAAACUAAAGUCGAAUUUGAGCUCGAACUCGACUUCUACAAGUUCGACGAGCUCGAACUCAGUUAUUUUACCUCAUUGAGGAAGAGUAACAAAUGACCCCGUCGCUAGCCCCUUCAACACAGCAAAAGACAACAAUUACAAUGCAAGGAUAAGUUUCCAAUUCAUCUGUAAAUGAAAAUCUAUCUCCAUAGACAAGACUCGGUUUCCAAAUCAAGUCUCGUUAGUUACUCCCACGUUGAACCACCUUUGUCACUUCUAUUCAAUGUGAGUUCAUGUGUUAGGACACAUCUUUCAAUCUGCUACACCCAUACUUGCAUACAGUUAGCGCGGUUAAAUAGAAAGCAAUGUACAUAAUAAUGGCAAAAGCAGCAGGAAAACAAAGGUUAAAACUGUUAUAUACUGCACAUAGCAGGCAUCAGAUAUAUCAGAGUUCCUUUCUGAUGGCUGUCAUUCUUUGCUCUUUUUUCCCCUUUUGAGCAAAAUAAGUAAUAAAUUCAGGUUGCAUAACAGUAUUACACAUUUGAGACAAUACCAUAUACAUCCCAAAAAAUCCGCACCAUGCCAAGAUAUUUCAGUAAGUAGGAAAUUUUGGAUCCA